UCAGACUUGGGGGAAAUUGGUAUUCAGACAGGACCAUCCGUGAGGGCUUGCUCUCAUUCACCAGCUUCAAGCAUUCAAGUUUGUGGAGUUCGCAAAGGCUUUUGGAAACCCCAGAUUGAUAGUAACUCAAAUCUCCAGAUAUCCGAAGAGUCUGAACACUAGGUAGUCUGCCCAAUAUAUCAGGAGUACAACUACUAGGGUUUAAAGCUGAUAUGAAAAUGAGAUUUUUCAGAGAGCUAGAAUAAUUUUUUGGAGGUGCGGGCAGAGUGAUAGAACCAAAGUUUAGAUGCAUGAGUUUUUGCAUCAUCCAAAUAUCCUCUGGUGACUGAUCUAUGUAGCUAGAUGGCAUUUCUAGUGUUUCAAGGUUUAAAAGGGUGCAUAGCAGUGAAGGAAGGCAUUUGAGCGAAGGGAUAUUCAAUUUCAAAUACUUCAAAAGAUAUAAAUUUUCUAAUCCGGGUGGAUAUUGGUCCAGGACUGCAGAACCCAUGUUCAAUACCCGAAGGUGUUUGAACUUUUUACAAAAAUUCUCGCAAUCUAUCAGAGCGAGAUGAUCGCUUGCCGAACUGUGAUUCAGAAAAGAUUGGAGAUACAUGUCAGAAUGUUCUAAAGAUAAAAACCCAGUCAGAUCUUCGGCAAUGACGCACCGUUUAACAUUUGCCACUCGCUCCUCUUCCCUGUCAUGCACCAAGACAAAUCCGGCCUUCUCUGCCACAAAAUACAAUGAAGUAUAUACAAAACUUGGAACAUAACACGCUUUAAUUGUGGCUCCGGCGCUUCUCUUACUCACUUGAAUGAAGCCGCGAUGGAUUAGUUCUUUCAAGUAAUGUUCGGCAGUUUCUUCACCGUUGUAUGGUAUGAAACCUUCAGCUACCCACAACUGAUAUAAUUGCUCCGUAGAUAUCUCAAUACUUGGAAGGAAGACACACAAAUAGAUGAAGCAGACUUUCAAGUAAAAAGGUAACUCCAUCACAGAAAAAAUUUGUCUCCAAACUGUCGGAAUCGCUUCGCCUUGAAGAUAAUUUUCUAAUGGCAUACUUCCAUAGUGUAGGAUGAAAAAUUGCCACGCUUCAUGCUUUAAUCUGAUCAAUGGUCCUCCAAAGAGCACUGAAUCACGCCGAAUCUUCUCUCCGUUUUCCAUUUCCAACGACGCAAGGAGCUGUGGAUCACUGACCAACAUCAAUACUCUGCUUCCAUUCUGAUUAUCAGGAAGAACUUCUUCAAGAUCACUCCAUAUCUCACUGUCAUCGAAGACAUCAUCAAGCACAAUAAAGUACUUCCUGUUUGUUAGGUAAUCUCGAAGAAUAGAUUUCUUCAAUUGAUAAUCUUCCCCGAUAAUUACACUAACCCGAGAUGGAGGCAUCACCGACUUGAUUAUGUCAUCCAAUAUCUUGCCAAAAACGUAGGUUAUAGAAACCCUGACCCAAGCAAGACAGUCAAAAUAGAACUUGACGUGGUUAUUAUUGUAAGUAUCUGCAGCAAAAACAGUCUUGUCGAAGCCACUGCUGUCGAGAAUUGCAACCACUGCAAGCCCAGAUGGUCCCUCAAUCAAUAGAUCAAACAACUCCUCCCUGCCCCUUUCAAAUUCAUUGAUAUCAAGCCGAGGUUGUCCCUCACUCAAUAGGCGAAUGAUUUCGUUACUUUUUUCACUGAUAUCAAAACCAUUGUCGCCGGGUGGAAGUUGUUGCAUCCGAUUUCUAAUAUCAAUGAUUUUAGUGUGGAGUCCAACAAGAAGAGCCAUAAUGAUGUUGAUGAUUUCGUUACUUUCACUUUCGUUUUCACUGUUUUGCUGCUGCAUGAUGUUGAUGAAGAAUGUGUCAAUGACUUCCUCAGAGUCACGGACAAAGUUAUUGAUGUCCUUCAGAAUUUCAAAAAUAUCUGCUGUUUCAACGUCUUCUUCAUCGCUUUCUUCUAAGUCCAACAGUUGCAAAAAAGGCAAAGAUAUUUUGGAGUCAUCGAAUUCUUCUCUAAUGAGUUGAAACAAAUGCCGAGCCAUGUCAGCUUCAUAAUUUCCCAGCAGAGUAGUAGCAAUAAUUUCGGACUCCGUAAGAAGGUUUUGAAAAAGUGGAGUUAAAUUUGUUGAAUCUGGCAGCGGCAACGUGCCUUCUUCACCUGCUAACACCCUUUUCAACCUCUCACAAAACAGUCGGAGGUGGAAUUCCAGCAUAUCUCCUUCUCUCUGUAGCAGCCAGAGGUAUUGUUUUUUGCUCCAAGAAAUAUUAAAAGGAUUGGUUCUAUCCUCAAGUGGUUACUGGUGUAAAAUUAAACGCCAUGGGAGAAUUUGAAAGGAAGAUGCCAAGGAACUGGCGAAGUGGCUAAAUUCCACAAAUACGGCAUUAUUGCUCAUUUUUAACUCAAAAAAUUGAUACGCGUUCAUUUAGAGAAAAGUCCAAGACGCGUGCUUUUUGAAAAGAACAGGUAUCCCAAUCGGUAUCCAACCUUUAUCUUAUUUAAUUACUACCAUGACAUAAUUGAUGGUGCUUAAAUCAAUUGUUUCUUUUUUAAUUUAAAGAAUUUUUCAUUAAAAAAUAUUUUAAUAUCAAAUUGCCUUCAGUGGCGUAACAACUGCCUCAAGCCCAGUAACAGGACUAAUUAAAAAUUUUACAAUUUUGGGGCAUGGAAAUAGUAGUAUUAAACAUUAGAAAGGUGAGGUUGUUCUGUUAAAGAAUUGAUAUUGACAUAAUUUUAUUUUGGUUUUCGUGGAAAAAAAAAAUUUGUUGACAAACAAGAAAAUAUUUUUAUAUUUUAAAAUUUAUUAUGCAUAUUUUAUCAUAUUAAAGUAGUUUUAAUAGUAAAUAGAAACAUAAUAUUACGAUAAAUAAAUUAAAAUUUAACUUAUUUUGAAUAUUAUAAAAAAUAAUUUUAAUAUUAUUAAUAGGAAGACAUUGUAUUAAUUUAAAAAUUUUUUAACCCAAAGGUUUAUUUAAAAUCUUUAUUAUAAAUACAAAUAUAAAAUUAAAUAUCAUAAUUUAAAAUUUUUAAUAUUAUUUUAAGUAUGAAAAAUAUUUUAAUAUUAUUAGUCUAGAUCAUAUUACUUAUAUAAUAUUUGUAUUAUUAAAAAUGCUUUAAAAAAGACCUUGUUGUUACUUUUUAAAAAAUUGAGGGCCUGCUUGAUAAUUUUUUCAAAAAGAAAAUGCUUGGUAUAUAGGAGGGGUAGAGAAACAGGACUCCCAAAAUCUCUCACCCUUUUGUAAUUUAAAAAGAAUUAAAAUAUCAAUAAAAAAUAAUAAAGAAAAUAGAAUUUUAUCUGCUCCUUACUCCAUUUUUGCAACUCUCUCACCAUCUCUGUCGAGCAGCCCUCUCUCUCAUUGUCUCUCACUAUUUCAGGAUCUCUCUCUCACUCACACAAUCCUUUCCACGAUUUGAAAUUCUUUGGCCUUCUGCAACUCUUACAAGAAAUUAACGCUUUGGUUCUCCCAAGGGUAGAUUGGUUUUAUUGGGAAGCUAUUAAUUAGAAGGAGGAAAAAGGACUAUAUUUAGAAUAUGAUUUGUUGGAGAAUCUCAAAGUUAAUCAAUUUUCAAGCCACACUUUCAAUAGCCAAUUGAUUUAGUAACCAUUAAUUACUUUAAUUUCCAUAAAUUGUAAUGACAGUGCAAAUGCAUCUGGUUGUGAUAGCUAAGGGUUAGCUUGAAGAAUUAAAUUUCAUAAGAUAUUACUGGAAAAUGCUUUGCAGCUAACGUGCUGCUUCCUUUGCUAGACUACAAUUUCAAAAUUCUCACGAGUUUUCCAUUGUUGUCACAAACCGAGAAAUUAUAAAAUACAUGGCCUGGUUCUUUGGCAAUGACCAUCUCAUCGUCGGCGGUCGUGUCGUCAUUGUCACUGGUCUUGCUCGACCGAGACAGUGAGAGAGAGGUUUGUUAGAUGGAGUUAGUGAGAGAGAGUUGUAAAGAUGGAAUGAUGAUAAAGGAUUCUAUUUUUUUUAUUGUUUUUUAUUAAUAUUUCAACAGGUCUUAGUAUAUAUAUAUAUGAUUGUAAAUAUCAGUUAUACUCAUGUAAUAUGAGUUGUAAUUUGAGCAAUAGUCUCAUGUUAUCAAAAAAAAAAAAUCAAAAAGCAAAGGUUGUUAUGUCGAAGAAUUGAUGUCAACAAAAUUUUAUUUUAGUUUUCGGAAAAAACAAAACAAAAAUAAAAUUUUUGUUGACAAGCAAGAAAAUGUUUUUUAUACUUUACAAUCUGCUAUACAUAUUUUAUCAUAUUAAAGUAAUUUUAAUAAUAUAUGGAAACAUAAUAUUAUAAUAAAUAAAUUAAAAUUACUUUGAAUUAUUGAAUAUUACAAAAAGAUAAUUUUAAUAUUAUUAAUAGGAAAACAUAUUUUAUUUGUAAAAUCUUUUUAAUACACAAAUUCAUUUAAAAUCUUUAUAAUAAAUACAAAUAUAAAUUAAAAAAUAUCAUAAUUUAAAUUUUUUAAUAGUAUUUAAAUAUUAAAAAUACUUUAAUAUUAUUAAUCUACUACAUCAAAUAUAUUAUUUAUAUUAUAUUCGUAUUGAUUAAAACGUUUUAAAGUCAAAUUUUUAAUUAGUGUAUUCAAAGGUACAAAAGAUUUUAGUAUUAUUUUUUAAAAAUUUCAGGAUAUGAAUGAUAAUUUUUUCAAAUUUUAAAGAUGUAAAAAUCUUUUUUUCUGAUAAUUUAUUUCACUUUUGAGAGAAUCCGAAAACGUUAAUUUAACAUUCUUUACCUUUGUGAAAAAAGUGAAAAUCAAGAACUAUUCAAUUUUGUUUUUAUUUGUAAUUCAAAAACUUUAUUCAUUUUCGAUGCUUUUCAAAAGAGAUUCCUUUAAAUCCUUUUGAUGUCUGCAGCUCCUGCUAUUCUCAUAAAUCUCCAUCCCACAUCUACACUAUCAAACUAGUUGAUGGAAAUUCUUAUAAAAAAAAAAAAAAAGUCGAUGGAAAUUGAUCAAUUGCUUUUUGAAAUGGACCCAUUGAGUCAUGUUCAUUUCUGGUCAUAUAAAUUUCUUUACCUUACAGUUUAUACGGUCUUGCUGUUAAUGAAUUCGCUGAGGCAUUAUUGAUCCAAUCUGAGUGAAGUAAUUGUGGGUGAAAAAUAAAUAAAGGAUAGCAGAACGUAGCUGAAGUGCUGAAGGGGCUAUUAAAGAAGAGUGUCACUCGAUCACAAUCACAUUGAUGCACAACUCACUCGUGGCAAAUUCCGACUAUACGUACUGCAAAUUCAGCCAAACCAUACAUGCAUGAACAAAACAUCUUCUCUAAACUAAAAAGCCCACAUCUCUAAAAUCAAUCUACAUAAUGUUGGAGAUGAGGGGUGAAUUGUUAACUCAGUAAAAAAAAAAAAACUCAUGCAUAAGAUUACUAAUAAUAUAAAUUAUAUAUUAAUCAUUAUGAAGAAUCAUAAAUUAGAAAAAUUAAUCAUUUUAUAAUUUAUUACACAAGUAAGAUAAAUCUUAUAAUAAGUUAUAACAUAAAAAAACGUUAUCAAUAAAUAAUCAUUUAAGAAGUCAUUUAACAAUAAAAUCGUUCUUUGAUCAGUUGGUCAUGUCACAUAGUAUCAUCUAUAUUUAUGGUGAUAAUAUUAUUACUUGGUAUUAUCAAAAAACAUGAUUUAACAUUUUAGAGGAAAUUCUUGCCUUUUAAAAAAAACAUGUAUGCAACAGCUACCCAUGCUUGAUCUUACAAAUGAACAAAUAAUUUUUCUCAAUGAAAAGAAUUUUUUUUUUAAAUUGAUUUAAUUGCACCAAUUAUGAUGAUUUUUUGCCAAAAAAUUAUUUUUUGGAAAACAUAGUGAGAGAAAAUUAGUGACGAUUAUUUGUUUAGAUUGUAUAAAUAGCUCAAACAUAAUCCCUUAAUAACCNNNNNNNNNNNNNNNNNNNNNNNNNNNNNNNNNNNNNNNNNNNNNNNNNNNNNNNNNNNNNNNNNNNNNNNNNNNNNNNNNNNNNNNNNNNNNNNNNNNNAGGGAGAUCGUCGGGGACAAUCUGAACGGCCGACGCCGAUGAAAUGGAAGGGUUUACCAGAGGAGUGGAUGCGAAGAGUGCAGGGACGGCCGCAGAGAGAGAGCGGCGGAGAGCGGCGACGGACGGUAGUCGGUAUGGGCCAUUGCUUGCGCGUCGGUAAUUGUCUCGAGUGAGAGAGUGAAGGGUUUUGUUUAGGGUUUUGGGAAAUGAAAAAUGCAAAUGUUUGAUUUUGUUGCUAGAAACUUCUUCUGCCGCUGCCUUUUAUUUUCGCUAUAAUAAUAUUAAUAAUUUGUUAAUAAAAUAUUUUCUUAAAAAAGAUAAAUUUCUACGACAAAAUUUAUAUUAAAUCAAAUUGUAAAAAUGUCUAUUAGGGUUAAUUUCUCCUUAAUAUUAUUAUUAGUAGAAGUAGAUUUUCGAAUUAGUCUUGAUAUAUUUCAGAGUUGUAUUAUAAAUGUAUAUGUAUCUGGAUUGCAAUUGUAUUUUUAAAAAAUAUAAUUUUUUUAAUUAUUGCACAAUAAAUGUAGAAAGUGUCUAUAAAAUAAUAUUAUUAGAACUAUGAAAAGAUAUUAUUUUAGAGUAGUUAUUUAUUUAUUUUUGAAUAAAUAAUUUAUUAAUUUAUUGAUAAAUUAAUAUUUAUUAAUUUAAAGAGAGAUUUUUUUUUUGUGGGUUUUAAGAAGAGUUUUGUUGGUAUAUGUAUAAACUUAUAAAGAAAUACAAAAAAUGCUUCCUCAAGUCAAUAAUAUUUACUUUAAUUCAUAAUAAUAUAGUUUAAUCAAGAAACUUGUAAUUAUACUAUAUCUUUCUUUCUUUGUUCAGUUUGGUGGGACAUUGUGAUAAAUCAUUGGAUUAAAAUGCAUUUGUAAAUGAAAACUUGUUAAAACCUAAUUUAUUUGGGAAAAACAUAUUAUUUACUCUUUUUUUUUCCCGCUCUCUGACAAUUGAGGUAUGGGUCAAGCUUGAAAGUAUCUUAAAAUCAGACAACAAUUUAACGAUUUUUUGUUUUUAGAUAACUGCUGGUAUGCUCUACAAUGAUAAGUGAUAACCUAGGUGUUUGCAUUAAUUAUGAUUCAACAAUUUAAAAAAUGAAAACAUAUGGAAGACGGCCGCAAUUAAAUUUAUUGUAUGAAAAUAUUUCAAUGAAAUUUUAAAAAUUUAGUACUUGUUAUCUUAUCGAGAGUUUUUAAUUAUAUUACUACUUGAACUUGACUGCUUUUGUAUUGAAUUCCUAGCGUUGCCAUUGCUUCUACUCAAAAGCCAUUUAAGUUUGUGUAAGCUACCUGUAGUUUGAACAACAAUUUUCUAGAUGAAUUUUUUCCUACAUGCUUGUUCUCGUAUGACCCAAAAUCCUGCUACAUCAGUUGUAUUAGAAAUUAAUCAACUGGGUUACAAUUAUGCAUCCCCACCAAUAUUCAAGCAAUCUACAGAAACAUUUCUUGAGGAAAGAAACUCAUAUCGCCACUAGGCUUUUAAUGAGGCUCAUUUUUAUGAAUCUGGAUGGCAUUAGAUAUCUCUCCGAAUAUUGGUGGGAGUAUAUCGCUGAUCUCUGGGCUAUACUACAAAGUGUAUGUACGUUGACUCUCAAUAAAUACAAACGAUUCUCUGAUCUGAUUCAAAACAUCAGUACAUGCAUCAUUUUAAUGAGAAAGAAUAUUCUAAGAACGAAAUUGAAGGUGCAAUCAGCAGCUAAAAUGAAGCCAGAAAUGUACACGCAUGAGGAACUUUUCCUAGAAGAUUGAUAUUUCUUUAACUAGCAAACCAUAUAAGUCCAAAGCUAACCAAACCAUACCUGCAAGUCCGGGGCUUAAAUGGAGUACUUGUAAGCAUAAAACAUUAAUCAAAACACAGUAUAGACACACACACACACCCCUACAUACAUACCAGCAAAUUCGGAAUAGAAAAAGGAGUGCAACUAUUCAAGUUUGCAGACAAUAUUGCAACCAUGGCAUAUUAAAGCAAAUCCUUGAAAUCAGCUAAACAAAACAAUGCCCUGUCUCAUGAAUCGAUGCUCAAUUAAAAUUGCAAUUGAAAGUCCGGCUGGUGUUGUUUCCCUCCCCAGUUUUGCCUACAUAAGUAAACGGAAAUAAGAAUCAUAAAUGAAAAUCUACUUUGACAGUUCUUAUUAGAUAGAUAUAAAAAGAUCUUUCUUUGUUUCUCUGCUGUAAUUUGUAGACAUGUUCCUAUUGUGCAUAAUUUACAUUAUAGGCAAAUAUUCUUAUACCAUCAUAGGCAAAACAUGACACUAACAAUUGAAGGUUUUAUGACCUCCUUGAAGGUUUUACGAUAAACAUAAAUCUACUGAGAAAGUGGGAAAAAAAAGAAAAUGCAUAUAAAAAUAUGAGUUAUCAGAUAAGAUUGAAACUCACCCAAUUCAAUCCAUCAGAUUCCGCAAGGAUAUAACUGGAUGUCAUACCGCCACUCCAUAUCCUCGAAAGUCCGUAGUCCUUGUCUCAACUGUGUCUGGGGCCAGUGUAAGUCCAAUUUGCGCAAGCUCUUUAUGCACCACAGCUCUUCUGGAAGCUUUCUCAAGUAAGCACAUGGGUUGACAAUUAAGCUUUCAAGUUUCGGCAUUGCUCCAGCCCCCAUCGUCCACUCAUCUAGCCAAUACAUUGAUUUCAGGUGCAAAACCUUAAGUUCGGGAAAGCUACUCAAGCCAACACAAGCAAGCUUUCUUCCUAAAUACGAGUUCUGCUUCAGUUUCAGCACUCGAAGGAGUGGAAGAUUUUCCAGAAUUGGCAUGGGAUCCUGUUGUGAAUUUGGCUUUGUUACGACUAACCAAAUUCUCCCCAAGACACUAAUUUUGUAUCAAAUGGUUUGAGAAUUAACAGCACAGAUUAUGCAGUAACAAAUCACACGCAAGAACCAAAGCAUUAAAGAAACAAAGUGACACCAAGUAUAAGUGGUUCAGCACCAAGAUGUGGUGCCUACAUCCACUGGAAACAAAGCAACAGUCUUUCACUAUUUAGUUCACAAAACAAUACAAUAAUAGGAAUUUAUUUACAGAGAACAAGAACUUGUAAACCCCUUUCUCUCUCUAUCUUCUCUCUACUCUCUGUGUUUCCCAAUUCAUGUGUAGACGAUGACAGAGCCUGCACUUUUAACCUCUGUUUCUGGGUUGUUACAUUAACUACCCUUCCCGCCAAAACUAACCAAGAAGCUCCUCUCUCACGUGCUUGUCACAAGUUGGCAUAAGUGAGCUUGAAACGGCAAUCACAGAUGUCGUUCUUGAGCUAACGAGAUUUCAGCUUCACUACACGUGCAAACCACGUGUAUUACUUAAAGGUUGAAUGACCAAAGAGAGGAUGUCGGUUUUACUCUGAAGAACUCCUCAAGCGACAAGUCGGCUGAGACUAACUCCUCUAAACGACUUGUAGCACUUGAGUUUCGAGUUCACUGUUUAUCAAUCUCCACCUUGAACUCAGAACUCUAGCUACUCAUGUUUACUUCAUUCUCUUCCAUUUGCAGCUAAUCAGAAGCUGCAAAUCCCUACUAAGCUCAAACAGAAGUUGAGCUUGGCAGAUGGCAUAGCUUUAGUCAACAUAUCAGCUGGAUUUUGAUCAGUGUGAACCUUGAGCAUCUUCACAAUUCCCUUGGAAACUUCAAGUCUAACAAAAUGCAGCUUUACAUCGAUAUGUUUUGUUCUUUCGUGAUGGGUCUGGUUUUUACUCAAAUGUAUUGCACUCUGGCUAUCACAAUAUACUUCAACUGUUUCUUGUUUUGCUCCUAACUCAGAGACCAUUCCUUUUAACCAGAUGGCUUCCUUAAAAGCUUCUGCAGCUGCUGUAUAUUCGGCUUCAGUUGUGGACAAAGCUACCACACUUUGCAGUGUAGCUUUCCAAUUCACAGUGCAGCCUCCCAAAGUGAAUAUAAAACCUGUCUGAGACCUCAUUUUAUCAAGAUCUCCAGCGAAAUCUGAGUCAACAUACCCCACCAGCUUGUGCCCUUCCUGUUUUAACCCUCCAUAUAGCAGACCAAACUCCAUAGUGCCUUUCAGGUACCUCAUUAUCCAUUGGACUGCCCUCCAAUGUUCAUAACCUGGAUUUGCCAUGAAUCUACUCACUACACUCACAACAUGUGAGAUAUCAGGUCUAGUGAGAACCAUGGCAUACAUUAGAUUCCCAACUGCACUGGAGUAAGGUAUCCUUGCCAUUUUUCCUUGCUCUGCAUCAGUUUGUGGACACUGUGCAGCAGACAGCUUGAAGUGAUUUGCCAAAGGUGUUUGAACAGACUUAGAUUCAUGCAUCCCAAACCUAAGUAACACCUUUUUAACAUAGCCCUGUUGGGUUAGAAACAUAAGCUUCCUUCUCCUGUCUCUGAUAAUUUCCAUACCUAAGAUCUUCCUUGCAGCUCCAAGAUCUUUCAUAUCGAAUUCACUGCUCAAGAGGUCCUUUAAAUGACUGAUUUCAUUUAUGCUGUGACAUGCUAUAAGCAUGUCAUCCACAUACAGCAUAAGAUAAAUCAUCUUUCCAUCACCAAUGUCCUUAAAGUACACGCAACAAUCAUAAUUGCUUCUCUUAUAGGCAUGUUUUGUCAUGAAACUAUCAAACUUCAAGUACCAUUGCCUAGGAGACUGCUUUAAUCCAUAUAAAGAUUUCUUUAGUAAGCACACAUGAUCUUCCUUGCCAGACACCACAUACCCCUCAGGCUGCUCCAUUACAAUUUCUUCUUGUAAUUCACCAUGCAGAAAGGUUGUUUUAACAUCCAUCUGCUCUAGGUACAAGUCUUGAAUGGCAACUAAAGCUAAGAUGACUCUGAUGGAGGCAUGUUUCACAACUGGAGAGAAGAUUUCAUUGAAAUCAAUCCCCUCUCUUUGUGUGAAACCUCUUGCUACCAGCCUAGCCUUAAACCUACUAGGUUCAGCAUCAAAUAUCCCUUCCUUAAUUUUGAAGAUCCAUUUGCAGCUAACAGUCUUCCUUUUCUCUGGUCUAACUAUCAGUUUCCAAGUUCCAUUUUUCAUUAGUGAUUCAAUUUCCUCAUCCAUAGCCUUCUUCCAUUUCAGCUUAUCCCUGUUGUUUAUAGCUUCUUUAUAGGUUCUUGGCUCUUCUUCAUUUAUCUCUUGUGCAGCUGUUAAUGCAUAAGCUAUCAAAUAUGCUACUGCAUACCUCUUAGGUGGUCUUACAGCUCUCCUCUUUCUAUCCCUGACCAACUGAUAAGAGUUAUUUUCAUUCUCAGCUGGCUCUGACUCCUGAACACCAUCAGAUCCAUCAGCAACCCUUCCUGCAUCUUCUUCAGAUUCUGAUUCAGUCAUAUCUUGCUCAUGGGACUCCACCUGAAACUGAAUACUCCCAGGUUUUAUUUCUGAUCUAUACUCUUUGGAUUCAGUGGCUUUGGAAUUGUUCAAGAUUUCUGACUCAUUGAAAGUUACAUCCCUACUGAUAAUGCAUUUUGGUGGCUUCAGAUCAAUGCACCAUAGCCUAUAGCCUUUAACUCCAUCAGGGUAUCCCAAAAAUCUACACUUUAAGGCUCUUGGCUCCAAUUUGCCUUGUUUGACAUGUGCAUAAGCAACACAGCCAAAGAUUCUUAGUUUAGAGUAAUCAGCAACCCUUCCAGACCAUAGCUCGAUAGGUGUUUUGCAUUCUAUUGCUGUAGAUGGGCUUCUGUUUACCAAGUAGCAUGUUGUGUUUAAGGCCUCUGCCCAGAGUGACUUAGGCAGCUUUGAGUAUAGCAGCAUACACCUCACGUUGUCCAUUAAGGUUCUAUUCAUCCUCUCAGCAAGACCAUUUUGCUGAGGUGUGUGUAUGACUGUUUUGUGCCUCAUAAUCCCAUGUCUUUCACAGAAGUCCCCAAACUCUUUAUUGCAGAAUUCCAUUCCAUUAUCUAUUCUUAGAGCUUUUACUUUCAAACUUGUUUGUGUUUCUACCAGAAUUUUCCAUCUCUUGAACCUUUCCAAAACUUCAUCUUUGGUUUUGAGUACAUACACCCAAACCAUCCUUGAAUAGUCAUCUAUUAGGGAUAAGAAAUACCUACAGCCACCAAGGGAAUCUACCUGUGCAGGUCCCCACAGAUCAGAGUGUAUAUAUGCAAGCCUCUCUUUGGUAGAAUGAACUGCAGAUUCAAACUUGAGCCUGGAAGCCUUCCCUAGAAUACAGUCUUCACAGAACCCCAAAGAACUUAGCUUGUCACUUCCAAACACCCCCUUCUUUUGAAGCUCCUUCAGUCCUCUCUCCCUCAUGUGCCCCAACCUCAAGUGCCAUAGUUUUGCUUUAUCUUCACUCUUCUCAGUGACACUUGCCUCUCCAACAGUUGUAUGUCCAUUAAGCACAUACAAACCAUUUUGCUUGGUACCUUUCAUUAUGACUAUUGAGCCUCUGAUAACUUUUAAUGUCCCAUUUUCAGCCUUAAUGACACAUCCAGUUUGAUCAAGCAUGCCAAUAGAUAUUAGGUUCCUUUUGAGUUCAGGAACAUGCCUAACCUGAGUCAGUUCUCUAACCAUGCCAUCAUACAUCUUAAGGCUUACAGUCCCAAUCCCAACUACUUUACAAACUGAAUUAUUUCCCAUCAGCACCAUACCCCCAUCACAGGACUGAUAUGUAGUAAAGUAAUUUCUAUUUGGACUCAUAUGAAAAGUACAUCCAGAGUCUAGUACCCACUGACCUUGAGUUUUUUCUUUUGUGGCAAUGAGGACUUCAGCUGUCUCAAAACUGGUUUCUUCUGUGGCUAUUGCUGCAUUUCCAGAUUUUUCUUUUGAUUCCUUUUGUUUUGUUUUUCUCUCAGGGCAAUCCCUCUUGAAAUGCCCUUCUUUGUGGCAGUGAAAACACUUCAAGUGUUUUUGCUUUGACUUUGAUCUUCCUUGCUUCUUUCCUUUGUAUUCUCUUUUUUCAGAUCUUCCCCUUGCCAUCAGCCCUUCACUUGAUUCACUCUCUGAGUUAUCUUGUUUGUCUUUUAACUUCUUGGUACCAAGAGCAGAUUUAACCUCUUCCAAGGAGAGUGAUUGCCUUCCAUAUAACAAGGCAUCCACAAAAUGUUCAUACGAUUUUGGUAAAGAACUGAUUAACAGCAAAGCCUUGCUCUCAUCACUCAGUCCUUCAUCAAUUGUUUCCAGUUCAUCACAAACUUUAUUAAACUCAUCUAUGUGUUCAUCAAGUGAUGCUCCUUCAAUCAUCCUCAGUGAGAACAUCUUUUUCUUGAUGUAUAGCCUGUUUGCUAAAGACUUUGUCAUAUACAAUUGUUCCAGUUUUGCCCAGAGCCCAGCAACAGUCUUUUCUUUUGCAACUUCCCUUAUCACUGAGUCACCAAGACUGAGGAUGAUAGUGCUUCUUGCCUUUUUGUCAAUCUCAGCCAUCUGUUCUGGAGUUCUUGAAGAAGAAGCUUCUGCAUUUUCACUCUUGAUGACUGGAUCAAUGGCAUCUCCCAGACCUUGUGUGAUUAACAAUGCUUCCAUCUUGAUCCUCCACAUAUUGAAGUCAUUCUGACCCGUGAACUUCUCAAGAUCCACCUUGUUUGUCAUUUCUUGAACCUUGAUACAGAAAAGAGGGCUCUGAUACCAAUUUGUUGUGAAUUUGGCUUUGUUACGACUAACCAAAUUCUCCCCAAGACACUAAUUUUGUAUCAAAUGGUUUGAGAAUUAACAGCACAGAUUAUCCAGUAACAAAUCACAUGCAAGAACCAAAGCAUUAAAGAAACAAAGUGACACCAAGUAUAAGUGGUUCAGCACCAAGAUGUGGUGCCUACAUCCACUGGAAACAAAGCAACAGUCUUUCACUAUUUAGUUCACAAAACAAUACAAGAAUAAGAAUUGAUUACAGAGAACAAGAACUUGUAAACCCCUUUCUCUCUCUAUCUUCUCUCUACUCUCUGUGUUUCCCAAUUCAUGUGUAGACGAUGACAGAGCCUGCACUUUUAACCUCUGUUUCUGGGUUGUUACAUUAACUACCCUUCCCGCCAAAACUAACCAAGAAGCUCCUCUCUCACGUGCUUGUCACAAGUUGGCAUAAGUGAGCUUGAAACGGCAAUCACAGAUGUCGUUCUUGAGCUAACGAGAUUCCAGCUUCACCACACGUGCAAACCACGUGUAUUACUUAAAGGUUGAAUGACCAAAGAGAGGAUGUCGGUUUUACUCUGAAGAACUCCUCAAGCGACAAGUCGGCUGAGACUAACUCCUCUAAACGACUUGUAGCACUUGAGUUUCGAGUUCACUGUUUAUCAGAUCCUCCAUUAGCUCAGUAUUUGAUAAGCUCAGUUGGAUCAGACUUGGGGGAAAUUGGUAUUCAGACAGGACCAUCCGUGACGGCUUGCUCUCAUUCACCAGCUUCAAGCAUUCAAGUUUGUGGAGUUCGCAAAGGCUUUUGGAAACCCCAGAUUGAUAGUAACUCAAAUCUCCAGAUAUCCGAAGAGUCCGAACACUAGGUAGUCUGAACAAUAUAUCAGGAGUACAACUACUAGGGUUUAAAGCAGAUGUGAAAAUGAGAUUUUUCAGAGAGCUAGAAUAAUUUUUUGGAGGUGCGGGCAAAGUGAUAGAACCAAAGUUUAGAUGCAUGAGUUUUUGCAUCAUCCAAAUAUCCUCUGGUGACUGAUCUAUGUGGCUAGAUGGCAUUUCUAGUGUUUCAAGGUUUAAAAGGGUGCAUAGCAGUGAAGGAAGGCAUUUGAGCGAAGGGAUAUUCAAUUUCAAAUACUUCAAAAGAUAUAAAUUUUCUAAUCCGGGUGGAAAUUGGUCGAGAACUGCAGAACCGAAGUUCAAUACCCGAAGGUGUUUGAACCUUUUAAAAAAAUUCUCGCAAUCUUUCGGAUUAAGAUGAUUGCUUUUUGAACUGUGAUUCAGAAAAGAUUGGAGAUACAUGUAAGAAUAUUCUAAAGGAAAGAAGUCAAACUGAUUACCCAAAAUGAUGCACCGUUUAAAAUUUGCCGGCGGUUCCUCAUCCACGUCAUGCAUCCAGACAAAUCCCGUCGCCUGUGCCAACAAUAACAAUGAAGUAUAUACAAAACUUGGAACAUAACACGCUUUAAUUGUGCCGCCGGCGCUUCUCUUACUCACUUGAAUGAAGCCGCGAUGGAUUAAUUGUUUCAAGUAAUGUUCGGCAGUUUCUUCACUGUUGUAUGGUAUGAAACCUUCAGCUACCUACAACUGAUAUAAUUGCCUCGUGGAUAUCUCAAUACUUGGAGGGAAGACACACAAAUAGAUGUAGCAGACUUUCAAGUGAAAAGGUAACUCCAUCACAGAAAAAAUUUGUCUCUCAACUGUCAAGCCGAAUUUUCCUUGGGUCAGGGUUUCUAAUGGCAUACUUCCAUAGUGUAGGAUGAAAAAUUGCCAGGCUUCAUGCUUUAAUCUGAUCAAUGGUCCUCCAAUGAGCACCGAAUCAAGCCGAAUUUUCUCUCCAUUUUCCAUUUCCAACGACGUAAGGAGUGUUGGUUCAGUGACCAAUAUCAAUACUCUGCUUCCAUUCUGAUCAUCAGGAAGAAGUUCUACAACAUCACUCCACAUCUCACUGUAAUGGAAGACAUCAUCAAGCACAAUAAAGUACUUCUUGUUUGUUAGGUAAUCUCGAAGAAUAGAUUUCUUGAAUUGAUAAUCUUUACCGAUAAUUACUCUAACCCGAGAUGGAGGCAUCACAGAUUUGAUUAUGUCUUCCAAUAUCUUGCCAAAAUCGUAGAGUAGAGAAACCCUGACCCAAGCAAGACAGUCAAAAUAGAACUUGACAUAGUUAUUAUUGUAAGUAUCUGCAGCAAAAGCAGUCUUAUCGAAGCCACUGCUGUCGAGAAUUGCAACCACUGAAAGCCCAGAUGGUCCCUCAAUCAAUAGAUCAAAAAACUUCUCUCAGCCCCGUUCAAAUUCACUGAUAUCGAGCGGAGGUUGUCCCUCACUUAAUAGGCGAAUGAUUUCGUUACUUUUUUCACUGAUAUCAAAACCAUUGUCGCCGGGUGGAAGUUGUUGCGUCCGAUUUCUAAUAUCAAUGAGUUCACUGUGGAGUCCAUCAUGAAGAGCCAUAUUAGUGCUGCUUUCACUUUCGUUUUAACUGUUUUGCUGCUGCAUGAUGUUGAUGAAGAACGUGUCAAUGGCUUCCUCAGAUUCAUGGACAAAGUCAUUGAUGUCCUGAAGAAUUUCCAGAAUGUCUGAUCUUUCAUCGUCUUCUUCAUCACUUUCUUCUAAGUCCAACAGUUGCAAUAAAGGCAAAGACAUUUCGGAUUCAACGAAUUCUUGUCUGAUGAGUUGAGACAAAAUCCGAGCCAUGUCAGCUUCAUAGUUUCCCAACAGAGUAGUAGUAAUAAUUUCAGACUCCGUAAGAAGGUUUUGAAAAAACGGGGCUAAAUUUGUUGAAUCAGGCAACGUUAACGUGCCUUCUUCACCUGCUAACACCCUUCUCAACCUCUCACAAAACAGUCGGAGGUGGACGUCCAGCAUAUCUCCUUCUCUCUGUAGCACCCAGAGGUAUUGUUUUUUGCUCCAAGAAAUAUUAAAAGGAUUGGUUCUAUCUCAAAGUGGUUACUGGUGUAAAAUUAAACGCCAUGGGAGAAUUUGAAUGGAAGAUGCCAAGGAACUGGCGAAGUGGCUAAAUUCCACAAAUACGGCAUUAUUGCUCAUUUUUAACUCAAAAAAUUGAUACGCGUUCAUUUAGCGAAAAGUCCAAGACGCGUGCCUUUUGAAAAGAAGAGGUAUCCAAUAGAUAUCCAACCUUUAUCUUAUUUUAAUUACUACCACGACAUGAUUGAUGGUGGUUAAAUCAAUUGUUUCUUUUUUAAUUUAAAGAAAUUUUCAUUAAAAAAAUAUUUUAAUAUCAAAUUGCCUUCAAUAGCGUAACUGCCGCAGGCCCAGUAACAGGAUUAAUUAAAUUUUUUUGAAUUUUUGGGCAUGGAAAGAGUAGUAUUAGACUUCAGUAAGCUAAGGUUGUUAUGUUAAAGAAUUGAUAUUGACAUAAUUUUAUUUUAGCUUUCGGGGAAAAAAAUAUUUGUUGACAAGCAAGAAAAUAUUUUUGUAUUUUACAAUUUAUUAUACUUAGUUUAUCAUAUUAAAGUAAUUUUAAUAAUAAAUAGACACAUAAUAUUACAAUAAAUAAAGUAAAGUUUAAAUUAUUUUGAAUAUUAUAAAAAAUAAUUUUAAUAUUAUUAAUAGGAAGACAUUUUGUUAAUUUUAAAAUAUUUUUAACCUAAAGGUUUAUUUAAAAUCUUUAGAAAUCUCCAUCCCACAUCUACCCUAUUAAACAAGUUGAUGGAAAUUGAACAAUUGCUUUUUGAAGUGUACCCAUUGAGUUAUGUUCAUUACUGGUCAUUGUCUAUUCUUUCUAAGAGCCACUUGUUUUGAGCAUUAGCAAUCCUAUCUGGACUACUCCAAUUAUUGAUGUAACUCCAAUGGUUGCAUCAACAGUUGAAUGUAAGAUAGUGUUAGUUCUUUUUUGAGAAUUUCUUUAUUUGUUUCUCCGUUGCAGCGUAUUAGUAUAAAUUUCUUUACCUUACAGAUCCUACAGUCUUCCUGUUAAUGAAUUCGCUGAGGCAUUAUUGAUCCAAUCUCAGUGAAGUAAUUGUGGGUGAAAGAAAAAAUAAAGGAUAAGAGAACGUAGCUCAAGUGCGGCAAACCAUACAUGCAUGAACAAAAGCCAGCAAAUCCAAAUGAAAACUUAAACGGAAGAUCUUAUUCAAGUUUGUCCCCAAAAGACAGCUGAAAUGAAAAAUAUUGACUAUCGAGUGGAUCAAUGCUGAAUUACAUUUGACCUGGAAAGCUUGGCUGCCGUUGCGAUGUUCCCCCUCUGAUUUUCCCUAAAACAAAUUCAGUUGUAAACAAUAACUGGGGUAGCAACAAUUUAUUCAUUAUAGAAAAUACCUAAAUUUUCAACCACCAAAUCCUCGUGUCUAAACUAAAAAACUCAUAUCUCUAAAAUCUAUAUACAAAAUGUCAUAAAUGAGGGUGAUCUCUCAAUUCGGUAAAUAAAUUCAUGCAUAAUAUUACCAAUAAUGAUAAAUUACAUAAUAAUUAUUAUAAAGAAUCAUAAAUUGGAAACAUUAAUCAUUUUAAAAUGUAUUACAUAAUAAAGAUAAAUCUUAUAAUAAGUUACGUUAGAACAUAAUAAAUAUUUUCAAUAAUAUAUAUAAUUAUUUAAGAAGUCUUUUAGCAAUAAAAUAUAUAUUUUUUCUUUUUCAGUUGAUCAUGUCAUAGCGUUAUCUAAAAUGUUAGCGAUAUCAUUAUUCUUCACUUUUCUCAAAAAAAAAAAAAGAAAAAAAAAAGAAACAUGAUUAACGUUUGGAGAAAAGUCAUGCCUUUUAAAAAGAAUAUGUAUACAAUACCAAUCCAUACUUUAUCUGACCAUGACAAAAUUGUUUAAAAUAGAUUUAAUGCACAAAUAUGAUGACUUUUGGCAGAAAUUAGUUUCGGAAAUAUUGGGAUGAAAACCAUAUUGGUUGAGACUUAAAAUUACUUAACUACCAUUUAAUAGAUAAAAACCAUAUUAGUUGAAAGUUAAAUUAAGAUUUAAAUGUUGAGAUAUCUAACGUUACUUAAUCAGAAUAAACAAUAAUCAAUUCAAAUUAUGACUAUCAUGUAGAAGCAAAUGUUUAUGCUUGGGUCUUUUACUUCUUGAAUUUGAUUGGAAAAAUUUCUGAGACAGAGAAGUGAGUGUUUUGGAUAAUAUUUUUCGGGAUUGAAACCACAAAUUGGUCGAGGAAAAUAAUUUUGGACAAAUUUUUAUUAUAUUGUAGCACCUUUUUGGUUCCUUUUGUGUCGGCAGCCCCUCACUAUUCUCUUAACCCUGAGUUUUGAGAUAGAAAUUUCCCGAACUCCAACCCCACAUCCACAGACAAGUUGAUUGAAACAAUUGCUCUUGUAAUUAAGAGGAUGAGAUAGGGUUCAGUUCUUAUCAUUGUCUGUUAUUUCUUUGAAUCAUUAUCUUAAUUAAUUACAUCAAUUGUUUCUUUUUUUAAUUUAAAGAAUUUUUCUUUAAAAAAAUAUUUUAAUAUCAAAAUGCGUUAAAUGGUAUUACUGCCGCAAUCCCAGUAACAGGAUUAAUUAAAAAAAUAUUCUUAGGAAGAUAUUUUGUUUAUUGUAAAAUCUUUUUAAUCCAAAGGUUUAUUUAAAAUCGUUAUAAUAAAUAAAAAUAUAAAAACAAAAUAAAUAUCAUAAUUUAAAAUUUUAAUAUUAUUUUAAAUAUUAAAAAUACUUUAAUGCUAUUAGUCUACUACACAGGUUAUAUUACUUAUAUUAUAUUUGUAUAAAUUAAAACUUUUAAAGUUAAAUCUUUAAUUACUAUAUUGAAAAGGUAUUAUGGUUAAAAAAAGUUUUGGCAUUUUUUUUUGAAAAUUUGAGGGUCUGCAUGACAAUUUGUCCAAAUCCUAGAGGUAUAGGUGUAUUUUUUUUUCGAUAAUUCAUUUUACUUUUGAGGGAAUCCGAUGAGAAAUAAGAUAAGAGAAACUUCAAUUUAAUGUUCUCUAGGGAAAACCAAGAACUAUUCAACUUUGUAUUUUUUGUUUGUAAAACAAAAAACAGUUUGCCAAAAAAGGUACCAAACAUAUCCUUAAUGUCUCACAUGAUUUCUUAUUAAGUCCAUACUCGAUAUAUUUAUACAUUUUAGGUAUUUUAGUUAUAAAAGAAGUUGGUCCUCCCUCUGUUUAUAAAAGGUAACUUUAUUUCGAGAUUACCACUAAAGUCUUACAAAGAAUUAGUGUAAUGUUAAGAGAGACUAACACAGUUUUCCAUUACCAUUUUGAAAAUAGAAAGAUAUGGAUGUGUGCAUUUAAUGGUGAGUUUACUUGCCGGAUUGGGGAAUCAGAAUCUGGAAUCGGAAUGAUUGAUGGUGUUUACUUCGCAAAUAUGGAGCAGGAAUCAGAAUUGGAAUGGUGGAGCCCACCACUAUUUGGGAAUGGGAGAUUGAUUCCCAUGGGGGAAGGUGGGAAUGAGUCUCCCAUUCCCUGGAUUAACCAUUUUGCCCUCCCUCAAAAUUAAAAAUGCCUACUUUGUCCUCUUUUAUAAUUAAUUAAUAUAAUAUUAUAAUUAAUUAAUUAAUAUAUAAAUAUUUUAUUAACUAUAAUUAUUAAAAAUUAUAGUUCUUGAAUAAAUAAUCACAAUAAUUAAUUUAUUAUUAUUAUUGUUAAUGAAUUAAUAUAAUUAUUACUAUUAAUUAAUAUAUUAAUAUAUUAUUAACAAUAAUAUAUUAAUAAUUAUUUUUCGUGAAUAAAUAAUCACAAUAAUUAAUAUAUUAUUAUUGUAAUUAAUUAAUUAAUAUACUAUUAUAAUAAUUAAUUCAUAUAUUAUUAUUAAUUAAUUAAUAAAAUUAAAAUUAUUAAUUAAAUAAAUAAUAUAAUUAUUACUACUAAUUAAUAUAUUAUUAAAAAUAAUUAUUAAUAAUUAUAAUUUUUGAAUAAAUAAUCACAAUAAUUAAUAUAUUAUUUUAAUUAAGUAAUUAAUAUUAAUAUUAUUAGUUAAUAUAUUUUUAUAAUAAUUUUUGAUAUAGUUAUUAUAAUUAAUUAAAUUUUUUUACAAUUAAUUAAUAUAUUAGUUAAUAAUAAUUAUGACAAUAAUCCAUUAAGUACUUUUUAGUAAUUUGUUACAAUCUAAUUCAUUCUGAUUCCGAUUUCAAGACAAAGUAAACACAUUAAUGGCAAUCUAGCUCAUUUCGAUUUUGAUUCUUACAGUUCAAGUAAACAACUUAUUUUGAUUCCCAUUACCUAUUCCCAUUCCAGCCCAUUCUCAUUUCUGCCCAUUUCAAUUCCAGCUCAUUCCGAUUCCAGUUUAGUAAACGCAGCAUAAGAGUUAUCAUGAAAAUCAUACAAUUUAAUUUCCUGAAAUAUAUAUUUUAUUCACAUGUGCCAAAAGAAUAAAUAGAUAGAAAGUAAAUUUACAAUCCUCACUCCCUCAUAAUUGUUAAAGUGAAUAUGCAUUACAACUGUGAACUGUCACUACUUUAGCCCCUUUUUUUUUUUUUUCAAUUAUAGUGUGAUGGAGACAGUGAACAUUAAGGAUAAAGUGCUCUGCUGAAAGCCAAACUUCCUUUGGCUAAUUAAUUUAGAAGUAAAGCAGAGAAUAAAGUCCUUGAUGCCUUCUGAAAUUAGAAAUACAUUUUAUAUGCUUUAAUUAUGAUUAUUUGGUAGACUAUUGACCAAAAGACAUGUUAAAGUAUAAAACAGAGCGAUCAAAGAAAAAAAAAAAAGGAGCGUUUGUGACGUAGAAUAACAAUUUGUAAGUAAAGUCCUAAUUUGAGUUGUCAAAAAGCAAAUAUAACAGAGAAGGUAAGAGAGAUGCAAAAAGGGGAAAUUUACAGUAAUAACCAUUAAAGUUUUGAUUUUUUUCAUCUUAACCCCUUAAAAAUAUUUCUAUCAACAUUAGCCAUAAAACAACUUUUGAGACCAAAAUACCUCUCCUUCAUCUCUCCCCCAAAAAACUUGUUCUGUGGCCAAAAAGCUUGAUUUUUUUUUUAAAAAAAAAAUCUAAUCUUUUGCGGCUUGUUGCAUGAUUUUAAGAUGAAAAAUUUGUCAAGUUGUAUUCUAUCAGCAUUAUUAUUAUUAAUGCUUUCACCUGCAAAUUCAUUGAUAUUCAUUCCCCCUUCCAUAAUCUUCGUGCCCAAAUUGCUUCUAACUUUUCUCGACUUCGACGCGGGUGAGAGAUUGCUUUUCCUUUCACCUUUUUGUUUUCUUCCGUUUAGCUUCAUUAUUUUAAAAAAAAAAAAACCGAAACAGAACAGAAACAAAAGCUUCAGCCCGCGGCCACCGUCCAAGGCUGCCGGCUCUCGUUUUCCGUCACCGAUCCGGACGCAACCACCACUAAACGGAUCAUAAAUCGCCGGCCAUCAAACUCCAAGCAUCGGACACCGUUGAUUAGCCACAGAUCGCCGGAAAAGCAACCAAAACAGCCGCGCCAACCGUGCCGUCAUUCACCGGUUUCCGCCGCGAUUUAGCCAGCACCACCGUAAUCAAUCCACUCCUCUCCACGAGCUCAACCUCUUUCGUUAUUCCCCACCUCCGAUCGACCAACCCAUCGCCGGAAUCUAAGCAUCACCAAACAGUUACAACUUAUCUCAAAUUUCCGGCCAAAACGCCACCGUUUCCGACGAAUCACAAACAUCAUCAUGAACAACUUCAAGUUUUGGUGCGACAGGGUGCUUGUCGCACCAAAACUUGGUGCGACGGGUGCCUGUCGCACCAAGGCUUGGUGCGACGGGUGCCUGUCGCACCAAGGCUUGGUGCGACGGGCACCCUGUCAUCAGAUUCAUCCUCCGACUCAGAUCAAUAAGUUUGAAAAUAACUCAUGCCACGAUGCCGAUUAGUUUUGGUCUGUAAAGAAGGGUAAUUUAGGGAGAAAGGCUUGUGUUUGGCUAAUGUUGAUAGAAAAAAAUUCAGAGGAUUAGUUGCAAAAAUAACAAAAUAUUUAUGGUUAUUUUCGUAAAUUUCCCCAAAAAGAGAACUAUUAGCUUAUCUUGAUUUCCCCACUAUAUUCAUUUUCGAUGCUUUUCAAACGAGAUUCUUUUAAUCCUUCUGGCGUCUGCAGCCCCUGCUCUUCUUAUAAAUCUCCAUCCCACAUCUGCACUACGAACAAAUUGACUAAAAUUAAAUAAUGUUGGAGACGAGGGAUGAGCUGUCAACUUAUUAAAAAAAACUCAUGUAUAAUAUUAUCAAUAAUAUAAAAUAUAUAAUAAUUAUUAUAAAGAAUCAUAAAUUAGAAAAAUUAAUUAUUUUACAAUCUAUUUCUUAAGUAAGAUAAAUCUCGUAAUAAGUUAAGUUUAAUGUAAAAAAAUAUUUUCAAUUUAUAAUCAUUUAAGAAGUCAUUUAACAAUAAAAUCUUUCUUUUGAUCAGGUGGCCAUGCCAUAGAGUAUCAUCUAUAUUCGUGGUGAUAUUAUUAUUACUCAAUAUCCUCAAAAGACACGAUUUAACAUUUAGAGAAAAUUCCUGCCUUUUAAAAAGAACAUGUAUGCAAUAGCUAGCCACACUUUAUUUUACCACGACAAAAUUGAUAGUGAUUAAAUCAAUUUUCUCAAUUAAAGAAAUUUUUUUAAAUUGAUUUAAUGCACAAAUAUGAUGAGUUUUUGCAAAAAUUAGUUUUGGAAAAUAUAGUGAGAGAGAAUGGUGACGAUUAUUUUUCAGAUGUGCAAAUAGCCUAAACAUAAUCUCUAAUACCAAUAUCCUUGUGCAUCUUAACACCUUUCAUGAUAUUCUUUCAUUCAUGGCCAUUUGUUCAAUAUUUGAAUUUGAUUAUUAAAUUAUGUUCAAUAAUGUUAGAGACCCCAAUAAUUGGGUACCAACUUAAAUCCCAAUGCUAUGUGUCAUUAACAAAUGUUGUGUCAUUUAUCAUUAUUGAAUGAAUAAUUCGUUAAUUUAUUGAUAAAUGAAAAUUUAUUAAUUUAAAGAGAGAUUGUUUUUUUUUGGUUUUAAGAAGAGUUUUGUUGGUACAUGUACAUACUUAUAAAGAAAUAAACUUGUAAUUAUACUAUAUCUUUCUUUCUUUGUUCAGUUUGGUGGGAUAUUGUGAUAAAUCAUUGGAUUAAAAUGCAUUUCUAAAUUGAAACUUGUUAAAAUCUAAUUUAUUUAGGAAACACAUAUUAUUUGUCAGUCGUACUUCUCAAAUAAGAUUAAAACUCACCCAAUUCAAUCCAUCAGAUUCCGUAAGGAUAUAACUGGAUGUCAUACCGCCACUCCAUAUCCUCGAAAGUCCGUAGUCCUUGUCUCAACUGUGUCUGGGGCCAGUGUAAGUCCAAUUUGCGCAAGCUCUUUAUGCACCACAGCUCUUCUGGAAGCUUUCUGAAGUAAGCACAUGGGUUGACAAUUAAGCUUUCAAGUUUCGGCAUUGCUCCAGCCCCCAUCGUCCACUCAUCUAGCCAAUUUACUCAUGAAUUGUUGUUCAUAUUAGCAAUUUGAUUGAAAGUGUGGCUGCACUAAUUUUCUAGAUGAAUUUUUUCCUACAUGCUUGUUCCCGUGUGACCCAAAAUCCUGCUACAUCAGUUGUAUUAGAAAUUAAUCAACUGGGUUACAAUUAUGCAUCCCCACCAAUAUUUAAGCAAUUUAAUUACAGAAACAUUUCUUGAGGAAAAAAACUCAUAUCGCCACUAGGCUUUUAAUGAGGCUCAUUUUUAUGAAUUUGGAUGGCAUUAGAUAUCUCUCCGAAUAUUGGUGGGAGUAGAUCGCAGAUCUCUGGGCUAUACUACAAAGUGUAUGUACGUUGACUCUCAAUAAAUACAAACGAUUCUCUGAUAUGAUUCAAAACAUCAGUGCAUGCAUCAUUUUAAUGAGAAAGAAUAUUCUAAGAACGAAAUUGAACGUGCAAUCAGCAAUUAAAAUGAAGCCAGAAAUGUACAUGCAUGAGGAAUUUUUCUUAGAAGAUUGAUAUUUCUUUGACUAGCAAACCAUACAAGUCCAAAGCUAGCAAACCAUACCUGCAAGUCGGGGGUUUAAAUGGAGUACUUCUAAGCAUAAAACAUUGAUUAAAACAGAAUACACACAUACAUACCAGCAAAUUCAAAAUAGCAAAAGGAGUGCAAAAGUUCAAGUUUGUAGACAACAUUGCAACCAUGGCAUGUUUAUAGCAAAUCCUCGAAAUCUGCUAAAUAAAACAAUGCCCUGUCUCAUGAAUCAAUGCUGAAUUAAAAUUGAAACUGAAAGUCUGGCUGGCGUUGUUUCCCUCUCCAAUUUUGCCUACAUAAGUGAAAAUAAGAAUAAUAAAUGAAAAUCUGCUUUUACGGUUCUUCUUUGAUAGAUAAAAGGGGGAUCUUUCUUUGUUUCUCUGCUGCAAUGUGUGCCUAUCCCACUCUGUUUUGCCACCCAAGCUGAGUCUAUGUUGAGACAUAAUUUUGACAUCCGAAGCAAUCUCAAUUAGUUUGGCAAUUUUAUGACCUCCUUGAAGGUUUUAUGAUAAACAUAAAUCUACUGAGAAAGUGGGAAAAAAAGAAAAUGCAUAUAAAAAUAUGAGUUAUCAGAUAAGAUUAAAACUCACCCAAUUCAAUCCAUCAGAUUCCAUAAGGAUAUAACUGGAUGUCAUACCGCCACUCCAUAUCCUUGAAAGUCCGUAGCCUCUGUCUCAACUCUGUCUGAGGCCAAUGUAAAUCCAAUUUUCGCAAGCUCUGUAUGCACCACAGCUCUUCUGGAAGCUUUCUCAAGUAAGCACAUGGGUUGACAAUUAAGCUUUCAAGUUUCGGCAUUGCUCCUGCCCCCAUCGUCCACUCAUCUAGCCAAUACAUUGAUUUCAGGUGCAAAACCUUAAGUUCGGGAAAGCUACUCAAGCCAACACAAGCAAGCUUUCUUCCUAAAUACGAGUUCUGCUUCAGUUUCAGCACUCGAAGGAGUGGAAGAUUUUCCAGAAUUGGCGUGGGAUCCUCCAUUAGCUCAGUAUUUGAUAAGGUCAGUUGGCUCAGACUUGGGGGAAAUUGGUAUUCGGACAGGACCAUCCGUGAGGGCUUGCUCUCAUUCACCAGCUUCAAGCAUUCAAGUUUGUGGAGUUCGCAAAGGCUUUUGGAAACCCCAGAUUGAUAGUAACUCAUAUCUCCAGAUAUCCGAAGAGUCCGAACACUUGGUAGUCUGCCCAAUAUAUCAGGAGUACAACUACUAGGGUUUAAAGCUGAUAUGAAAAUGAGAUUUUUCAGAGAGCUAGAAUAAUUUUUUGGAGGUGCGGGCAGAGUGAUAGAACCAAAGUUUAGAUGCAUGAGUUUUUGCAUCAUCCAAAUAUCAUCUGGUGACUGAUCUAUGUAGCUAGAUGGCAUUUCUAGUGUUUCAAGGUUUAAAAGGGUGCAUAGCAGUGAAGGAAGGCAUUUGAGCGAAGGGAUAUUCAAUUUCAAAUACUUCAAAAGAUAUAAAUUUUCUAAUCCGGGUGGAUAUUGGUCCAGGACUGCAGAACCCAUGUUCAAUACCCGAAGGUGUUUGAACUUUUUACAAAAAUUCUCGCAAUCUAUCAGAGCGAGACGAUCGCUUUCUGAACUGUUAUUCAGAAAAGAUUGGAGACGCGUGUCAGAAUAUUCUAAAGAUAAAAACUGAAUCAGAUCUUCCCAAAUGAAGCACCGUUUAACAUUUGCCAGUGGUUCCCUUUUCCUUUCACGCAUCCAGACAAAUCCCGUAAUCUCUGCCACCAAAGCCAAUGAAGUAUAUACAAUACUUGGAACAUAACACGCUUUGAUUAUGCCUCCGGCUCUUCUCUUACUCACUUGAAUGAUGCCGCGAUGGAUUAGUUCUUUCAAGUAAUGUUCGGCAGUUUCUUCACCGUGGUAUGGUAUGAAACCUUCAGCUACCCACAACUGAUAUAAUUGCCUCGUAGAUAUCUCAAUACUUGGACAGAAGACAUACAAAUAGAUGCAGCAGACUUUCAAGUGAAAAGGUAACUCCAUCACAGAAAAAAUUUGUCUCCAAAUUGUCGGAAUCGCUUCGCCUCGAAAAUAAUUUUCUAAUGGCAUACUUCCAUAGUGUAGGAUGAAAAAUUGCCAGGCUUCAUGCUUUAAUCUGAUCAAUGGUCCUCCAGUGAGCACCGAAUCAAGCCGAAUCUUCUCUCCGUUUUCCAUUUCCAACGACGCAAGGAGGUUUGGAUCAGUGACCAAUAUCAAGACUCUGCUUCCAUUCUGAUUAUCAGGAAGAACUUCUUCAAGAUCAUCCCAUAUCUCACUGUGAUCAAAGACAUCAUCAAGCACAAUAAAGUACUUCUUGUUUGUUAGGAAAUCUCGAAGAACAGAUUUCUUCAAUUGAUAAUGUUCACCGAUAAUUACACUAACCCGAGAUGGAGGCAUCACAGACUUGAUUAUGUCAUCCAAUAUCUUGCCAAAAUCGUAGAGUAUAGAAACCCUGACCCAAGCAAGACAGUCAAAAUAGAACUUGACAUGAUUAUUGUUGUAAGUAUCAGCAGCAAAAGCAGUCUUGUCGAAGCCACUGCUGUCGAGAAUUGCAACCACUGCCAGCCCAGAUGGUCCCUCAAUCAAUAGAUCAAACAACUCCUCUCUGCCCCGUUCAAAUUCACUGAUAUCAAGCCGACGAUGUCCCUCACUCAAUAGGCGAAUGAUUUCGUUACUUUUUUCACGGAUAUCAAAACCAUUGUCGCCGGGUGGAAGUUGUUGCGUCCGAUUUCUAAUAUCAAUGAUUUUAGUGUGGAGUCCAACAAGAAGAGCCAUAUCAGUACUGCUUUCACUUUCGUUUUCACUGUUUUGCUGCUGCAUGAUGUUGAUGAAGAAUGUGUCAAUUGCAUCCUCAGAUUCAUGGACAAAGACAUUGAUGUCCUCCAGAAUUUCCAAAAUAUCUGCUCUUUCAACAUCUUCUUCAUCGCUUUCUUCUAAGUCCAACAGUUGCAAAAAAGGCAAAGAUAUUUUGGAGUCAUCGAAUUUUUCUCUAAUGAGUUGAAACAAAUGCCGAGCCAUGUCAGCUUCAUAUUUUCCCAGCAGAGUAGUAGCAAUAAUUUCGGACUCCGUAAGAAGGUUUUUAAAAAGUGGAGUUAAUUUUGUUGAAUCUGGCAGCGGCAACGUGCCUUCUUCACCUGCUAACACCCUUUUCAACCUCUCACAAAACAGUCGGAGGUGGAAUUCCAGCAUUUCUCCUUCUCUCCGUAGCACUCAGAGGUAUAGCUGAAAGAUUAAACACCAUGGAAGAAUUUGAAAGGAAAAUGCCAAGAAAUUGUGUAAGUGGCUAAAUUCCACAAAUAUGACAUUAUUGCUCAUUUUUUAACUCAAAAAAAGGGUACGCGUUCAUUUAGAGAAAAGUCCAAGACGCGUGCCUUUUGAAAAGAACAGGUAUCCCAAUCGGUAUCCAACCUUUAUCUUAUUUAAUUACUACCAUAACAUAAUUGAUGGUGCUUAAAUCAAUUGUUUCUUUUUUAAUUUAAAGAAUUUUUCAUUAAAAAAAUAUUUUAAUAUCAAAUACCCUUCAAUGGCAUAACUGCCGCAAGCCCAAAAACAGGAUUAAAUAAUUUUUUUUUUUGAAUUUUUGGUCAUGGAAAGAGCAGUAUUAAACAUCAGAAAGCUAAGGUCGUUAUGUUAAAGAAUUGAUAUUGACAUAAUUUUUUUUGGUUUUCGGGGAAAAAAAAAUUGUUGACAAGCAAGAAAAUAUUUUUAUAUUUUACAAUUUAUUAUACAUAUUUUAUCUUAUUAAAGUAAUUUAAUAAUAAAUAGAAACAUAAUAUUACGAUAAAAAAAUUAAAGUUUAACUUAUUUUGAAUAUUAUAAAAAAUAAUUUUAAUAUUAUUAAUAUGGGGACAUUGUAUUAAUUUUAAAAUUUUUUAACCCAAAGGUUUAUUUAAAAUGUUUAUUAUAAAUACAAAUAUAAAAUUAAAUAUCAUAAUUUAAAAUUUUUAAUAUUAUUUUAAGUAUUAAAAAUAUUUUAAUGUUAUUAGUCUACUACAUAGAUCAUAUUACUUAUAUAAUAUUUGUAUUAUUAAAAAUUCUUAAAAUCAAAUUUUUAGUUAGUAUAUUCAUGAGGUAUUAUGGUUAAAAAAAAAAAGACCUUAUUGUUACUUUUUAAAAAAUUGAGGGCCUUCGUGAUAAUUUUUUCAAAAAGAAAAUACUUGGUAUCUGGGAGGGAUAGAGAAAUAGGACUCCCAAAAUCUCUCACCCUUUUUUAAUUAAAAAAAUUAAAAUAUCAAUAAAAAAUAAUAAAGAAAAUAGAAUUUUAUCUACUCCUUACUUCAUUUUUGCAACUCUCUCACCAUCUCUGUCGAGCAGCCCUCUCUCUCACUCUCUCACUCACACAGUCUUUUUCACGAUUUGAAAUUCUUUGGCCCUUUGCAUUACAAGAAAUUAACGCUUUGGUUCUCCCAAGGGUAGAUUGGUUUUAUUGGGAAGCUAUUAAUUAGAAGGAGGAAAAAGGACUAUAUUUAGAAUAUGAUUUGUUGGAGAAUCUCAGAGUUAGUCAAUUUUCAAGCCACACUUUCAAUAGCCAACUGAUUUAGAAACCAUUAAUUACUUUAAUUUCCAUAAAUUGUAAUGACAGUGCAAAUGCAUCUGGUUGUGAUAGCUAAGGGUUAGCUUGAAGAAUUAAAUUUCAUAAGAUAUUACUGGAAAACGCUUUGCAGAUAACGUGUUGCUUCCUUUGCUAGGCUACAAUUUCAAAAUUCUCACGAGUUUUCCAUUGUUGUCACAAACCGAGAAAUUAUAAAAUACAUGGCCUGGUUCUUUGGCAAUGACCAUCUCAUCGUCGGCGGUCGCGUCGUCAUUGUCACUGGUCUUGCUGGACCGAGACAGUGAGAGAGAGGUUUGUUAGAUGGAGUUAGUGAGAGAGAGUUGUAAAGAUGGAAUGAUGAUAAAGGAUUUUAUUUUUUUUUAAUUGUUUUUAUUAAUAUUUUAAUUUUUAAAAUUAAAAUUUGCUGCCGUUUCUCUCGACUCUCAUAAUUUAUUUCAUUUUUAGGGAAUCCAAUGAGAAAUAUGAUAAAAGAACGUCAAUUACUUGUCAUUUUCAAUUUUUUUCUAUAAGCUAUUUAUUUCGAGCAUUAGUGAUCUUGUCUGGCUACUCCAAUUAUUGACGUAACUCCAGUGGCUGCAUCCACUGGAAAAAGUGGAUGAGAACCAUUUUUUUUUCAUAAAGGUAACUGCUCCAAUUAUUGACAUAAUUGAUGGUGCUUAAAUCAAUUUUUUUUUUUAAUUUAAAGAAUUUUGCUUUAAAAAAUAAUUAAUAUCAAAAUGCCUUCAAUGUUGUUACCGCCACAAGCCCAGUUAGAGGACUCAUUAAAAAUUUUAGAAUUUUUAGGCCUGGAAAGCGUAGUAUUAAACAUCAGAAAGCAAAGGUUGUUAUGUCGAAGAAUUGAUGUCGACAAAAUUUUAUUUUAGUUUUCGGAAAAAAAAAUAUUUUGUUGACAAGCAAGAAAAUAUUUUUUAUACUUUACAAUCUGCUAUACAUAUUUUAUCAUAUUAAAGUAAUUUUAAUAAUAUAUGGAAACAUAAUAUUAUAAUAAAUAAAUUAAAAUUAAAAUUACUUUGAAUUAUUGAAUAUUACAAAAAGAUAAUUUUAAUAUUAUUAAUAGGAAAACAUUUUUUAAUUGUAAAAUCUUUUUAAUACAAAAAAUCAUUUAAAAUCUUUAUAAUAAAUACAAAUAUAAAAUUAAAAAAUAUCAUAAUUUAAAUUUUUUAAUAUUAUUUAAAUAUUAAAAAUACUUUAAUAUUAUUAGUCUACUACAUAAAAUAUAUUAUUUAUAUUAUAUUCGUAUUGAUUAAAACGUUUUAAAGUCAAAUUUUUAAUUAGUGUAUUCAAAGGUAUAAAAGAUUUUAGUAUUAUUUUUUAAAAAAUUUCAGGAUAUGAAUGAUAAUUUUUUUCAAAUUUUAAAGAUGUAAGAAUCUUUUUUUCUGAUAACUUAUUUCACUUUUGAGAGAAUCCGAAAACGUUAAUUUAACAUUCUUUACCUUUAUCUUUUCAAAAAAAAAAAAAACAUUCUUUUUUUGAUAAGAAUGUUUUUUUUUUCUUUAAAAAAUAAUUAAUAUCAAAAUGCCUUCAAUGUUGUUACCGCCACAAGCCCAGUUAGAGGACUCAUUAAAAAUUUUAGAAUUUUUAGGCCUGGAAAGCGUAGUAUUAAACAUCAGAAAGCAAAGGUUGUUAUGUCGAAGAAUUGAUGUCGACAAAAUUUUAUUUUAGUUUUCGGAAAAAAAAAUAUUUUUUUACCUUUGUGAAAAAAGUGAAAAUCAAGAACUAUUCAAUUUUGUUUUUAUUUGUAAUUCAAAAACUUUAUUCAUUUUUGGAUGCUUUUCAAAAGAGAUUCCUUUAAAUCCUUUUGGUGUCUGCAGCUCCUGCCAUUCUCAUAAAUCUCCAUCCCACAUCUACACUAUCAAACAAGUUGAUGGAAAGUCUUAUAAAAAAAAAAAAGUUGAUGGAAAUUGAUCAAUUGCUUUUUGAAGUGGACCCAUUGAGUCAUGUUCAUUUCUGAUCAUUGUCUACUCUUUCUAUCAGCCAUUUAUUUUGACCAUUUGCGAUCUUAUCUGGACCUACUCCAAUUAUUGUUGGAACUCCAAUGGUUGUAUCUACAGUCGAAUGUAAUAUAGUGACAGCUCUUUCUUUGAGAAACUAGAGGGACCUUACAGUUCAUAUAAAUUUCGCUACCUUACAGUUCAUACGGUCUUGCUGUUAAUGAAUUUGCUGAGGCAUUAUUGAUCCAAUCUGAGUGAAGUAAUUGUGGCUGAAAAAUAAAUAAAGGAUAAGAGAACGUAGCUGAAGUGCUGAAGGGGCUAUUAAAGAAGAGUGUCACUUGAUCACAAUCACAUUGAUGCACAAUUCACUUGGCAAAUUUCGACUAUGCGUACUGCAAAUUCAGCCAAACCAUACAUGCAUGAACAAAACUAAAAUGUAGUUCUAAUCACAACUGCAGUUAUGAUGUUUACCCCUCUGAUUUUUCUCCAAAACAAAUUCAGUUCAAAACAAUAAUCAAAAUAGCCACAUUUUGUUCGUCAAAAUAAAUGCCCAAAUUUUCAAUUAACAAAUCAUCUUCUCUAAACUAAAAAGCCCACAUCUCUAAAAUCAAUCUACAUAAUGUUGGACAUGAGGGGUGAAUUGUUAACUCAGUAAAAAAACUCAUGCAUAAUAUUACUAAUAAUAAAAAAUAUAUAUUAAUCAUUAUAAAGAAUCAUAAAUUAGAAAAAUUAAUCAUUUUAUAAUUUAUUACACAAGUAAGAUAAAUCUCAUAAUAAGUUAUAACAUAAAAAAAACGUUAUCAAUAUAUAAUCAUUUAAGAAGUCAUUUAACAAUAAAAUCGUUCUUUGAUCAGUUGGUCAUGUCACAUAAUAUCAUCUAUAUUUAUGGUGAUAAUAUUAUUACUCAGUAUUCUCAAAAAACAUGAUUUAACAUUUAGAGGAAAUUCUUGCCUUUUAAAAAAAACAUGUAUGCAACAGCUACCCAUGCUUUAUCUUGCCAUGACAAAUAUUUUCUCAAUGAAAGAAAUUUUUUUAAAAAUUGAUUUAAUGCACAAAUAUGAUGAUUUUUCCAAAAAUUAAUUUUGGAAAAUAUAGUGAGAGAAAAUAGUGACGAUUAUUGUUUAGAUGUAUAAAUAGCCUAAACAUAAUCCUUAAUACCAAUAUCCAUAUGCAUCUUAUCAUCUUUCAUGAUGUUCUUUCAUUUAUGUCCAUUGGUUCAAGAUUUGAAUUUGAUCAUUAAAUCAUGUUCAAUAAUAUUAGAGAUUCCAACAAUUGAGUACCAACUUAAAUCCCAAUGUUAUGUGUCAUUGACCAAUUAUGUGUCAGUGACCAAUUUUGUGUCAUUUUGUUAUUAACUAGGUGAUGAAUUUCUAGUUGAUAAAAUCACUUAAAAAUAUCUUAAAAAUUAGACAAUAGUUUGCUUAAUUUUUCCAAGUUAACUGCUCAAGAUGCUCUAUUAUAAAUGAUAACCUAAUUAUAUUCAUAAAAAAUGAUAUAUUUUUUUGUGGUGUUGAUAAUGAGAUUAUCAUUCAACGUUUUAAAAUGUGAAAACAUAUGGAAGACGGUUGUAAAUUGAUUGAAUGAAAAUAUUUCAGUGAAGUCUCAAAAAUUUGGUACUUGUUGUCUUAUCGAAAGUUUUCUAAAUUAUAUUCGUGGCACAGCCACUAUCCAAACCAUACAAGUCCAAAGCUAUCCAAACCAUACCUGCAAGUCCGGGGCUUAAAUGGAGUACUUCUAAGCAAAAAAACAUUGAUUAAAAUAGAAUAUAUACAUACAGACACACAUACAUACCAGCAUAUUCAAAAUAGCAAAAGGAGUGCAAAAGUUCAAGUUUGUAGACAACAUUGCAACCAUAGCAUGUUUAUAGCAAAUCCUCAAAAUCUGCUAAAUAAAACAAUGCCCUGUCUCAUGAAUCAAUGCUGAAUUAAAAUUGAAACUGAAAGUCUGGAUGGUGUUGUUUGUUGAGAAUGUCAAAUAAAACGGCAUUGAAGGAAGUUUUCAAAGGCAGAAUCCGCACUUGUCAAAGACACGAUCCGCACCGAACGGAUCGACACAUUUCCUUCCGUAUUCACAUAUGUAAUCUUUGAAAAAAUGUAGCUUCUGCAUCUAUAAAUAACGCUCAGUGUAUAAUGUUUUAUUCAAGAAAUAAAAACAAGUUUCUACAUGGUAUCAGAGUCAUGAAUGCGCUCAAGUUUCUUCAAGUUUCGCUGCUCUGUUUGUCACAAAAACAGAGGAAACCAAAUUCGUCCCACAACCAUUUUUUCCACCAUUUUCUUCCUUAAAAUCAUUCCUAACAUUACAGAAAUCCAUGCCGAUCAAAAAACAUGAAAGACAAAUUACACAUGUGCAGUAACCAAUGAUCAUAUUUCGUUACUGUCAAACACAAUGCAUCUGAGCAAAACAUUGGAAGCCAACACCAGAAUACAUAUGAAUAAACAAUUAAAGAUAGAGAAAAAAGGCUUAAACCUUGGGGGAAAAAAGUGAAAAAACAUGAAAGACAAAUUACACAUGUGCAGUAACCAUCGAACUUAUCAGUGACAGCUGCAUCCAUUACAUUGCUCCAACAACACAAUGGCAAACCACCAGUUUCAAAUUGAGGAUAGCUAUCGAGAAUGAGAAAGUGUCCAAAACAUCAUAAAUAGACAUGUUCCUAUUGUGCAUAAUUUACAUUAUAGGCAAAUAUUCUUAUACCAUCAAAGGCAAAACAUGACACUAACAAUUGAUCCCCCCCCCCCCCCCCCCCCCCAACAACCAAAAAAAAAGGAAAAACAAUACAGAAAAGAUUGAAACAGAUAAGGCUACACUGAGCACAGGAUGCCAUGAAACAUAAUCCAGGAACCAAAUUAAUAAAAAAGGAAGCCAAACCAUUAUUUAACAAUCUGUUUUGUAUUUGGGAAAGUCUGAUAAAAUCUACUUAGGGAUAAUUAGAGAACUUCAACUAUUAAUCACACCUCAUAAAUGAACUAACAUUAACCAUCUACCAUCCCCACGUCACACAAACAUUCUCUAUACUUCUGAACCUAAUACUUCCAUCUUCAAUUGGGGGUUUUUUUUCUUUUUUUUUUUGGGUGGGGGGGGGGGGGGGGGGGGGGAAGCUAUCAAUUUUCUAAGCUUGCUUAGCUUCUGUGUGGGAUUGAAAUGCUGAUUUCGAAUCACUAACAGUAAAAUUGGAAGCUCAUGAAAAAACAGUUUUAUCUCAAAAUUACAUCUCGAUAUAAAUUCUCUUUUCAUUUCCUUCAACUUUCUAAUUAAGCUUAAAAAAUGUACCUUCAACCACAAAGGGGUUUAAAAUUUAAAAUAUAAAAAAUAAAUUCAGAUAACAAUAAUUAAUUUAAUUAAAAAUAUAAAUAGAGUUACAGAGAAAGAGAAAAUAGAGAAAGACCUAAUGUUGAGUCCUUUGGCGCAUGUCUCUUCAUAGGUCCGAACCAUUUCUUCGGGCGUGGGUUACGGCCGAGAUUGGAUAAUGAUGGAGUAGGAUAAGAUUAGCGAUAACGACGCCGAUGAAAUGGAAGGGUUUACCAGAGGAGUGGAUGCGAAGAGUGCAGGGACCGCCGCAGAGAGAGAGCGGCGGAGAGCGGCGACGGACGGUAGUGACCAGCGGAGGCGGAAGAUGGCGGUAUGGGCCAUUGCUUGCGCGUCGGUGAGUGUCUCGAGUGAGAGAGUGAAGGGUUUUGGGAAAUGAAAAAUGCAAAUGUUUGAUUUUGUUGCUAGAAACUUCUUCUGCCGCUGCCUUUUAUUUUCGCUAUAAUAAUAAUAAUAAUUUGUUAAUCAAAUAUUUUCUUAAAAAAGAUAAAUUUCUACAAGAAAAUUUAUAUUAAAUCAAAUUGUAAAAAUGUCUAUUAGGGUUAAUUUCUCCUUAAUAUUAUUAUUAGUUGAAGUAGAUUUUCGAAUUAGUCUUGAUAUAUUUCAGAGUUGUAUUAUAAAUGUAUAAGUAUCUGGAUUGCAAUUAUAUUUUUAAAAAAUAUAAUUUUUUUAAUUAUUGCACAAUAAAUGUAGAUAGUAUCUAUAAAAUAAUAUUAUUAGGACUAUGAAAAAAAUAUUAUUUUAGAGAAGUUAUUUAUUUAUUAUUGAAUGAAUAAUUUAUUAACUUAUUGGUAAAUGAAUAUUUACUAAUUUAAAGAGAGAUUUUUUUUUUGAUUUUAAGAAGAGUUUUGUUGGUACAUAUUCAUACUUAUAAAGAAACACAAAAAGUAGUUCCUCAAGUCAAUUGUAUUUGCUUUAAUUCGUAAUAAUAUAUCUUAAUCAAGAAACUUGUAAUUAUACUAUAUCUUUCUUUCUUUGUUCAGUUUGGUGGUACAUUGUGAUAAAUCAUUGGAUUAAAAUGCAUUUCUAAAUGAAAACUUGUUAAAACCUAAUUUAUUUGGGAACCAUAUUUUAUUUGUCAGUCGUAUUUCUCAACUUAGCAAGUUAUUUCUAACUUAUCGGUCUCUAUUGGUUUUCUUAAGUGCCUGUUUGAUAUGACUUAUUUAAUGGCAAUAAGUGCUUAUUUAAUCUCAUAAGCUCUUAUCAUAAUUUUUGUUAUUGUUUGGUUGUUUUUCUAAUAAAGUUUUUGAAGCUUAAAUAAGUAAUUUUACCUCUCUUAACAAAAGCUCAAAUUUUGAGUUUUUUGGGAGUAGAGAUUGAAAAACUUUUUCAAAUGUCAAAAUAUCUAUAAUAUCCUCUACUUAUUUAACAAUCUUAUUUAUUAUUUUCAUAAUAUAACUUUAAAAGACUUGUCUAUUAAAGUAAUUUCAUAAAUUUUUAAUAAAAACUCUUAUUGACAACCAAACAACUAAUUUUUUUUAGCAAAACCUCUACUUAAAUAAGUUCUACUUGAAAAACUGUAUCAAACGGAGCUUAAAGUUAAUAGUCUCUUAUCUCCCACAUUUGAUAUCUUAAUGGUAUCAGCGUGUUACCUAAGAUUGGGAUUCAUUAAAAUCCUCAAUGUAAUCGGUGGAAUGAAAUGGAUUUUUAUAACCUCCUUGAAGGUUUUACGAUAAACAUAAAUCUAUUGACAAAGUGGGCAAAAAGAAAAUGCAUAUAAAAAUAUGAGUUAUCAGAUAAGAUUAAAACUCACCCAAUUCAAUCCAUCAGAUUCCGUAAGGAUAUAACUGGAUGUCAUACCGCCACUCCAUAUCCUCGAAAGUCCGUAGUCCUUGUCUCAACUGUGUCUGGGGCCAGUGUAAGUCCAAUUUGCGCAAGCUCUUUAUGCACCACAGCUCUUCUGGAAGCUUUCUCAAGUAAGCACAUGGGUUGACAAUUAAGCUUUCAAGUUUCGGCAUUGCUCCAGCCCCCAUCGUCCACUCAUCUAGCCAAUACAUUGAUUUCAAGUGCAAAACCUUAAGUUCGGAAAAGCUACUCAAGCCAACACAAGCAAGCUUUCUUCCUAAAUACGAGUUCUGCUUCAGUUUCAGCACUCGAAGGCAUGGAAGAUUUUCCAGAAUUGGCAUGGGAUCCUCCAUUAGCUCAGUAUUUGAUAAGCUCAGUUGGAUCAGACUUGGGGGAAAUUGGUAUUCAGACAGGACAAUCCGUGAGGGCUUGCUCUCAUUCACCAGCUUCAAGCAUUCAAGUUUGUGGAGUUCGCAAAGGCUUUUGGAAACCCCAGAUUGAUAGCAACUCAAAUCUCCAGAUAUCCGAAGAGUCUGAACACUAGGUAGUCUGCCCAAUAUAUCAGGAGUACAACUACUAGGGUUUAAAGCUGAUAUGAAAAUGAGAUUUUUCAGAGAGCUAGAAUAAUUUUUUGGAGGUGCGGGCAGAGUGAUAGAACCAAAGUUUAGAUGCAUGAGUUUUUGCAUCAUCCAAAUAUCCUCUGGUGACUGAUCUAUGUAGCUAGAUGGCAUUUCUAGUGUUUCAAGGUUUAAAAGGGUGCAUAGCAGUGAAGGAAGGCAUUUGAGCGAAGGGAUAUUCAAUUUCAAAUACUUCAAAAGGAAUGAAUUUUCUAAUCCGGGUGGAUAUUGGUCCAGGACUGCAGAACCCAUGCUCAAUACCCGAAGGUAUUUGAACCAUUUAAAAAAAUUCUCGCAAUCUUUCGGAUUAAGAUGAUCGCUUUCUGAACUGUGAUUCAGAAAAGAUUGGAGAUAGAUGUAAGAAUAUUCUAAAGAAAAGAAGUCAAUCAGAUUUUCCCAAAUGAUGUACCGUUUAACAUUUGCCCUUGAUUCCUUUUCCAUUCCAGGCAUCCAGAGAAAUCCCGUCUCCUGUGCCAACAAUAACAAUGAAGUAUAUACAAAACUUGGAACAUAACACGCUUUAAUUGUGCCUCCGGCGCUUCUCUUACUCACUUGAAUGAAGCCGCGAUGGAUUAGUUCUUUCAAGUAAUGUUCGGCACUUUCUUCACCGUUGUAUGGUAUGAAACCUUCAGCUACCCACAACUGAUAUAAUUGCCGCGUGGAUAUCUCAAUACUUGGAGGGAAGACACACAAAUAGAUGCAGCAGACUUUCAAGUGAAAAGGCAAGUCCAUCACAGAAAAAAUUUGCCUCCAAAUUGUCGGAAUCGCUUCGCCUUGAACAUAAUUUUCUAAUGGCAUACUUCCAUAGUGUAGGAUGAAAAAUUGCCAGGCUUCAUGCUUUAAUCUGAUCAAUGGUCCUCCAAUGAGCACCGAAUCAAGCCGAAUCUUCUCUCCAUUUUCCAUUUCCAACGACGCAAGGAGGUCUGGAUCAGUGACCAAUAUCAAUACUCUGCUUCCAUUCUGAUUAUUUGGAAGAACUUCUUCAAGAUCAUCCCAUAUCUCAAUGUUAUCGCAGACAUCAUCAAGCACAAUAAAGUACUUCCUGUUUGUUAGGUAAUCUCGAAGAAUAGAUUCCUUGAAUUGAUAAUCUUCACCGAUAAUUACACUAACCCGAGAUGGAGGCAUCACAGACUUGAUUAUGUCAUCCAAUAGCUUGCCCAAAUCGUAGAAUACAGAAACCCUGACCCAAGCAAGACAGUCAAAAUAGAACUUGACAUGAUUAUUGUUGUAAGUAUCUGCAGCAAAAGCAGUCCUAUCGAAGCCACUGCUGUCGAGAAUUGCAACCACUGAAAGCCCAGAUGGUCCCUCAAUCAAUACAUCAAACAACUUCUCUCUGCCCCUUUCAAAUUCACUGAUAUCGAGCCGAGGUUGUCCCUCAUUCAAUAGGUGAAUGAUUUCGUUACUUUUUUCACUGAUAUCAAAACCAUUGUCGCCGGGUGGGAGUUGUUGGAUCCGAUUUCUAAUAUCAAUGAUUUUACUGUGGAGUCCAAAAAGAAGAGCCAUUUUAGUACUGCUUUCACUUUCGUUUUGACUGUUUUGCUGCUGCAUGAUGUUGAUGAAGAAUGUGUCAAUGGCUUCCUCAGAUUCAUGGACAAAGUCAUUGAUGUCCUCCAGAAUUUCCAAAAUACCUCCUCUUUUAACGUCUUCAUCGCUUUCUUGUGCCUGCAACAGUUGCGAAAAAGGCAAAGAUAAUUUGGAUUCAUCGAAUCGUUCUUUAACAAGUUGAAACAAAAGCCGAGCCAUGUCAGAUUCAAAGUUUCCGAGCAGAGUGGUAGCAAUAAUCUCGGACUCCGUUAGAAGGUUUUGAAAAAGGGGAGUUAAAUUUGUUGAAUCAGGCAAAGUCAACGCGCAUUCUUCACCUGCUAACACCCUUUUUAACCUCUCACAAAAUAGUCGGAGGUGGACGUCCAGCAUAUCUCCUUCUGUCUGUAGCGCCCAGAGGUAUUGUUAUUUGCUACAAGAAAUGUUAAAACAUAGAGUAAUGAUACAGCCACAAACUCUUGUACAAACUUAUUUUGUACAAACUAAAAUGGCAUUAAUUCAUUGGUUGAAUGAAAAUAUAAAAUAAUAAAAACAAAUCAUGUGGGCCAAGUGAUAUUUAAUUCAACCAAUCUUAUCAUGCCACGUCAAUUUGUACAAAAUAAGUUUGUACAAGAGUUUGUGGCUAUAUCAUUACUCUAAAACAUAUCUCCUUCUGUCCUAUCUCAAAGUGGUUAGUGGUGUAAAAUUAAACACCAUGGAAGAAUUUGCAAGGAAUAUGCCAAGAAACUGGCCAACCCGCUUAGCUAAAUUCCACAAAUAUGACGUUAUUGCUCAUUUUUCUCUCAAACACAUAAUACACGUUCUUCGAGGCGCGUGCCUUCUGAAAAGGACAGGUAUCCAACCUCAUCUUAAUUUAAAGAAUUUUCCUUUAAAAAAAAUUUAAUAUCAAAAUGCCUUCAAUGUUAUUACUGCCGAAAGCCAAACUUCCUUUGGGUAAUUAAUUUAGAAGUUAAGCAGAGAAUAAAGUCCUAGAUUAAAUGUUUAGGUAGUUUUACAAAAUGAUAACAGCAUGCCAAAACUCGUUGUUGUCAUAUUCGACAUUUCAAAUUGAAAAAUAUGCAAGCAAUCUUCAGUGAACAUUACAUGUUUAUUGAAUAAUUUAAAUGGCCAGUAAAUCAACAGUCCGUGAGUUUUAAAUCUAUUAUGACUUAAUGUAUCUUUCUGUAUUCGUACACAGGUUAUAUUAUCAUAGUUUAAAAUUAUUUUAAAUAUUAAAAAUACUUUAAUGCUAUUAGUCUACUACACAGGUUAUAUUAUUUAUAUUAUAUUUGUAUUAAUUAAAACUUUUAAUGUCAAUUUUCUAAUUAUUAUAUUAAAAAAGUAUUAUGGUUAAGAAAAAGUUUUGGCAUUUCUUCUUGAAAAUUUGAGAGUCUGCAUGAAAAUUUUUCCAAAUUCUAAAGGUAUAGGUUUGAAAAUUUAACGUUCUGUAAAUUAAUGAAACAAAAGGGGGGAAACCAAAAACUAUUCAAUUUUGUAUUUUUUGUUUGUAAUUCAAAAAAUACAUCCACCAAACAAGUUUUACGCAUUAAUGCUGUCAUAAAACGAAAAACAGUUUGCCAAAAAAUGGUACCAAACAUUUCCUUAAUGUCUCACAUGAUUUCUUAGUAAGUCCAUAUUAGAUAUAUUUAUACAUUUUAUGUAUUUUAGUUAUAAAAGAAGUAGGUCCUCCCCCUGUUUAUAAAAAAUAACUUUAUUUCGAGAUUGCCACUAAACUCUUACAUAGAAUUAGUGUAAUGUUAAGAGAGAGUAACACAGUUUUCCAUUACCAUCUUUGAAAAUAGAGAGAUAUGGAUGCAUGCAUUUAAGAGUUAUCAUGAAAAUCAUACAAUUCAAUUUCCUGACAUAUAUAUUUAUGCACGUAUACCAAAAGAAUAAAUAGACAGAAAGUAAAUUUACAGUCCUCACUUCCUCACAAUUGUUAACGUGAAGAUGCAUUACAACUGUGAACUGUCACUACUUUAGCCUUUUUUUUUAAAAAAAAAAAAUUAUAGUGUGAUGGAGACAUCAAGGAUGAGCAUAAAAGUUAAAGAUGACUCAUUUUCUUUUUAAAGUGCUCUGCUGAAAGCCAAACUUCCUUUGGCUAAUUAAUUUAGAAGUAAAGCAGAGAAUAAAGUUCUAGAUGCCUUCUGAAAUUAGAAAUACAUUUUAUAUGCUUUAAUUAUGAUUAUUUGGUAGACUAUUGACCUAAAAGACAUGUUAAAUUAUAAAACAGUGCGAUUAAAAAAAAGAGAGUAUUUGUGACGUAGAAUAACAAUUGGUAAAUAAAUCCUAAAUAUUUGAGUUGUUAAAAGCAAAUAUAACAGAGACGGUAAGAGAGAUGCAGAAACAGAAAACUAUUAGCUUAUCUUGAUUUUCCCACUAUAUUCAUUUUCGAUGCUUUUCAAACGAGAUUCUUUUAAUUCUUCUGGUGUCUGCAGCCCCUGCUCUUCUUAUAGAUCUCCAUCCCACAUCUGCACUACGAACAAGUUGAUUAAAAUUAAAUAAUGUUGGAGACGUGGGGUGAGCCGUCAACUUGGUAAAAAAACUAUGUAUAAUAUUGUUAAUAAUAUAAAAUAUAUAGUAAUAAUUACAAAGAAUCAUAAAUUAGAAAAAUUAAUUAUUUUACAAUCUAUUUCUUAAGUAAGAUAAAUCUCAUAAUAAGUUAAGUUAUAAUGUAAAAAGUAUUUUCAAUUUAUAAUCAUUUAAGAAGUCAUUUAACAAUAAAAUCUUUCUUUUGAUCAAUUGGUCAUGCUACAAAGUAUCAUCUAUAUUUGUGGUGAUAUUAUUAUUACUCCGUAUUCUCAAAAAACAUGAUUUAACAUUUAGAGAAAAUUCAUGCCUUUUAAAAAGAACAUGUAUGCAACAACUACCAAUACUUUAUCUUACCACAACAAAACUAAUGGUGACUAAAUCAAUUUUCUUGAUUAAAGCAAAAUUUCUUAAAAUUGAUUUAAUGCACAAAUAUGAUGACUUUUUGCAAAAAUUAGUUUCGGAAAAUAUAGUGAGAGAAAAUAGUGACGAUUAUUGUUUAGAUGUGUAAAUAGCCUAAACAUGAUCGCUAAUACCAAUAUCCACGUGCAUCUUAACACCUUUCGUGAUAUUCUUUCAUUCAUGGUCACUGGUUCAAGAUUUGAAUUUAAUCAGUAAAUCAUGUUCAAUAAUAUUAGAGAUCCCAACAAUUGAGUACCAAUUUAAAUCCUAAUGCUAUAUGUCAUUGACCAAUAUUGUGUCAUUUUUUGUUAACUGGGUGAUGAAUUUCUAGUUGAUAAAAUUACUUAAAAAUAUCUUAAAAAUCAGACAAUAGUUUGCUUAAUUUUUUGAAGCUAACUGCUCAAGAUGCUCUAUUAGAAAUGAUAACCUAAUUAUAUACAUAAAAAAUGAUGUAUUUUUUGCGGUGUUGAUAGUGAGAUUAUCAUUCAACAUGUUAAAAUAUGAAAACAUAUGGAAGAUGGUUGUAAAUUGGUUGAAUGAGAAUAUUUCAGUGAAGUCUCAAAAAUUUGGUACUUGUUAUCUUAUCGAAAGUUUUCUAAAUUAUAUUCGUGGCACUGCCACUGCUUCUAUGUGAAGGUCAUUAAAAUUUGUGUUAGCUACCUAUAGGUUGAAUAACAAUUUUAUUCAUCAAUUGUUGCUCAAUAUAGCAAUUUGAUUGAAAGUGCCGCUGCACUAAUUUUCUAGAUGAACUUUCCUACAUGUUUGUCCUCAUAUGACCUAGAAUGCUGCGAUAUCAAUUGUAUUGGAAAUUAUUCAGGUGGGUUAGUGCUCUACAUCCCCACCAAAAUAUAAGCAAUGAACAAAACAUUCCUUGUGGAAAUAAACUUAAUUAUUUCGCUACUAGACUUCUAAUGAGGCCCAUUUUCCAGAAUCUGGAUACAAGUUAGAUGUCUCCCAAAAUAUUGGUGGGAGUAGACUAUAGUAGCACUCGACAACAUACUAACGACGCUAUGGUCCACCAGAAAGACCGGUCUCCGGUCAGCCGAAAAAUCUCACGUUCAGUCUCUUCUCAAUCUCCCUUCUCCCAGCCAAGUCGAUCCCGUAACAUGAUACUAAUCCACAGUUGAAUACAUGAUACUAUUAGAUCUUAUUUGAGAAUAUAAAGGGAUCUUUCUAAUUUGAGAACAUAAAUUGCCCAAUAAAGUUGAACUACGUUACCCCGCUCCAUGCACAUACAUUAAAUGUUAACAGCAUGCCAAAACUUGAUGUUGUCAUAUUCGACAUUUCAAAUUAAUAUGCAAGCAAUCUUCGGUGAACAUUACGUUUUUAUUGAAUAAUUUAAAUGGCUAGUAAAUCUAGAGUUCUUGAGCUUUAAUCUAAAUCAAAUCUAUUAUGACUCAAUGUAUUUUUUUGUAUUCGUACCAGUAAUGCAGGGGAUUAUUUACGGAACUCUUAUUAUUGACUGAUAUGUUCACCUUCAUCCAAUUAGAGAAAGAGUGACUGUAGAGGUGGCAAAAAUACCCGUCCGGUUCGGACCCGGACCGUACCCAUUACCCAGCCCGGGUAUGAAGCCGGGUCGGUCUUGGGUAUUACUUGAUAAACCCGGAACUCGGAUUUUAUUAAAAAAAUUAUAAAAUAUAUAUUAUUUUAAAUAUUUUAUAUUUAUUUGACUCAUUUAUUAUACAUAUAUAAAGUUUUAAACACUUAAAGUAUAUAUUUUCUUGUCAAAUUUUAUUGAAAUAAAUUUAAAACUUAUAAAAUUACUAAAAAAUAAAAAAUAUAUACACAUAAAAUAUUAAAAAAUAUAAAAUUCGGGUACUCGAAUUAAAACCCAGCCCGAACCCGGACCCAGACCGGUUGCAUCCGGUAGGGUCCGGUCAUGGCAAUACCCUGACCCCGCCCGGGGUUUUGCCAUCUCUAAGUGACUGGGUUCCUAUAAAGGGACUCUUAACCGUUACGAGAGUAUUCAGACUAAAAAUCUUUAUAAUUAAAUUCAAAGGUGAAGAUCUAUGCUUAUUAUCUAUUUAACAACUAAUAUAUAGUUAUCUAUUCAUUUAAAUAUCAAGGGCUAUGCUAAUAAUUAAGUUGAAAUGUUGAUGAAAGUAGCCCUACAUCUGUAUAUUACUCAUCUACUCUAAUCUUUUUUUUUUUUUAACUUAAUGUACUUUUUCUAAUGUUGUUUACUCUUCCCCCCCCCCCCCUCCUCUGACAAAAUAAUAAGAGUUUAGACUUGAAAAUAUCUUAAAGAUCAAACAGUAAUUUACCUAAUUUUUUGAAGCUAACUGCCAAAGAUAUUCUAUUAGACAUUGAUAACGUAGUUAUAUACAUUUAAAAUGAUUUUUUUUUUUUGUGGAAAGGGAUUAUCAUUCAACAUUUUAAAAUAUGAAAACAUAUGGAAGAUGAUUGUAAAUUGAUUGAAUGAAAAUAUUUCAAUGAAGAUGGUUGUAAAUUGUUAUCUUAUUGAAAGUUUUCUAAAUUUACUACUAUUUGAACUUAGCCCUCCUGGUACCGCCACCAUUUCUGCUUGAAAGUCAUUUAAGUUUGUGUUAGCUGCCUAAAGCUUUUUUUUUUUCUUUUUCUUUUUGAAAAGAGCUGCCUAUAGCUUGAAUAACUAUUUUGCUCACGAAUUGUUGUCCAUUAUAGCAAUUUAUUUAAUUGAAAGUGCGGCUGCAAUAAUUUUCUUGAUGAACUAUUCCACAUGUUUGUUCUCAUGUGAGGCAGUUUUUCUAGAAGAUUGAUAUUUCUUUAAGUCUUUAACUAGCAAAGCAUACCAGUCCAAAGCUAGCCAAACCAUACCUGCUGGUCCAGGGCUUAAAUGGAGUACUUCUAAGCAUAAAACAGUAACAAAAACACAAUAUAUGCAUACAUACAUACCAGCAAAUUCAAAAUAGAAAAAAGAGUGCAACUAUUCAAGAAAUUGGUUAUUGUAGACAAACACACAUACAAACACAUACCAGAAAAUUCAAAAAAUAGAGAAAGGAGGCCAACUAUUCAAGUUUGUAGACAAUAUUGCAAUCAUGGCAUUACUUAUAGCAAGUCCUUGAAAUCUACUAAACAAAACAAUGCUCUGUCUCAUGAAUCAAUGUUGAAUUACAGACGAAAUUGAAAGUCUAGCAGGUGUUGUUUCCCUCUUCGAUUUUGCCUACACAAGUAAAGGGAAAUAAGAAUCAUAAAUGAAAAUCAGCUUUUACAGUUGUAAUUAUUAGAUAGAUCUAGAACGAUCUUUCUUUGUUUCUCUGCUGCAAUGUGCUAUCCCACUCUGUUUUGCUACUAAAAUUGAGUCUAUGUUGAGACAUAAUUUCGACACUAGGAGCAACCGCAAUUAGUUUGGCAUUGCAUUACCCCUUGAAGGUUUUACAAUAGUUGUAAACUUACCGAGAAAGUAGAAAAAAAAGGGCAUAUGGAAUUAGGCAAGUAACUAAAGUAUGAGUCAUCAGAUAUGAUUAAAACUCACCCAAUUCAAUCCAUCAGAUUCCGUAAGGAUAUAACUGGAUGUCAAAACGCCACUCCAUAUCCUCGAACGUCCGUACCCUUUGCCGCAACUCUGUCUGGGGCCAGUGUAAGUCCAAUUUGCGCAAGCUCUUUAUGCACCAUAGCUCUUCUGGAAGCUUCCUCAAGUAAGCACAUGGGUUGACAAUUAAGCUUUCAAGUUUUGGCAUUGCUCCUGCCCCCAUCGUCCACUCAUCUAGCCAAUACAUUGACUUUAGGUGCAAAAUCUUAAGUUCCGGAAAGCCACCAGAGUCAACACAGGCCAACUUUCUUCCUAAAUACGAGUUCUUCUUCAGUUUCAGCACUUGAAGGCGUGGAAGCUUUUCCAGCUUUGGCAUGGGAUCCUCCAUUAGCUCAGUAUUUGAUAAGCUCAGAUGGCUCAGACUUAAAGGAAAUUCGUAUUCAGACAGGACAAUCCGUGAGAGCUUGCUCUCAUUCACUAGUUCCAAGCAUUCAAUUUUGUGGAGUUCGCAUACGCUUUUGGAAACCCCAGAGUGAUGGCAACUCAAAUCUCCAGAUAUCUGAAGCGUUUGAACAUUAGGUAGUCUGCCUAAUAUAUCUGGCGUGCAACUACUAGGGUGUAAGGAUGAUAUGAAAAAAAGAUUUUUCAGAGAGCUGGAAUAAUUUUUUGGAGGUGCAGGCAGAGUGAUGGAACCAAAGUUCAGAUGCAUGAGUUUUUGCAUCUUCCAAAUAUCCUCUGGUGUUUGAUCUACGUAGCUAGAUGGCAUGUCUAGUGUUUGAAGGUUUGAAAGGGUGCAUAGCGGUGAAGGAAGACAUUUGAGCGAAGGGAUAUUCAAUUUCAAAUACUUCAAAUGGAAUAAAUUUUCUAAUCCGGGUGGAUAUUGGUCCAGGACUGCAGAACCCCUGUUCAAUACCCGAAGGUGUUUGAACAUUUUACAAAAAUUCUCGCAAUCUAUCGGAUUAAGAUGAUCGCUUUCUGAACUGUAAUUCAGAAAAGAUUGAUUAGUUCUUUCA
rnacentral:lncRNA from 1 species